rnacentral:lncRNA from 1 species
UUUGCAGUUUGGUUACAUUGUGCUGACAACUUCUGCUGGGAUCAUGGACCAUGAGGAGGCAAGGCGUAAGAAUGUUGGUGGCAAAGUGCUAGGCUUUUUCUACUGAAAAUGGAAAAUGGAAAAUUCGAUGGAAGUACCUGAGAUGUGUUAGUAGGAUAUUUCCCAAGGAACACCUAAGUUGUCUUUUUUUGUCUGACUAGCUGCCGCUGCUUGUUGAGUUAUUCUGGAAUCUGUUAUGCACUUUGGAAUUGGGUGCCUUUGUUUGAAAACUAUGAGCUGUGCCUGUCGUUAAUUCUUAAAAAUCUAUAUGCAAUAUUAUGUUGUUCCGUUGAGGUAGAUGCUGAAGAGGUUUAAAUCUAGUAUUCUGCCCGGCUCACUGUAGUUUCAAUCUUGUCUGUGAGCUCAUGCUUAAUUGUUGAUCUUUGAGCUUAUAAUUAAAGUCUUUAUCGUAUUGCAUUCUGAUGUUCUGCUGGUGAUUUGCAUAGAUAGCCGGUUGAAAAUUUUAAAGUUCAGAAAAUAAGCUGCCUUCUUAACCGUCGGAUUACACCUCCCAGCCGUUUGAUUUCAGAUGGCCAACUUUUUCACCUGGCACACUUCCUCCUACGGCCUUGGCAUUGGCGAUGUUCUUGAAGCACCAACGCCGCUCCCUGCAAGUGGGCACAACACUGGGAGGUUGCUGCACUGGGGCCUUCCCAUAUAAGUGGUGAUGUUGUUUCCCCAUCCCAGACCGCAGAUCUUUGCAUGGUACCGGCGUCGCAGCUGCAGAAGCACGGUGGUCGUUGCUGAUGCAUUUGCGACAGAGAUGGCUACAUUGGCGGUGCUACCCAAGCACCGGUGCCCUGACUGAGGGAGCGCCACGCCGUGCAGGCCGAGCGGCAAUACUAGGAAAAACGUUUAGAAACAACCGGCUGAUCACAGCGUCGGCGUUGAUCACUUCAAACCUGUAGACACGAAAGACCGGAUCUACCACUCGAGUUUCCCGUAUUCAAGACAUAGACGCAUAGUGGAGCACUCGGGAGUGCUACACAACACAACUUUUCCAGUCCUGAAAAAUCAGCCGCAAAAGUUGACAUGACAAAAACACCAGCUCGCCACAAACAGGAAUACAGCAGCCUCCACAACAAGAGCACUAGUAUAUUUCUUUUCAACGAAGCAACACAGCACUAGUAUUGGUCGUAGAAAUGCAAGACGGCGAAUUUCCACGAACGAGAGCCCAGCCCAGGGGAUGCACGCACAGUUUACACACUCCAUUACAAUCCUCCCAUGGAGGAGGAAGAAGAAGACAUUGCCAAAGAUGUAUAGUUGCCCUACACGGCCUGACACCCGCCUAGCUAGCUAGAUACCUCCGCCGCGCACCGCCGCCGCCAGUCGUCACCGGCAGGAAGUAAAACGCUGCACGAGCUACAUACCAGCAGAAGCUAGCGUCAGGCCAUUGUUGGGGGGUAUAUACCUGGGAGGAACCCGGCCACCCAGGUGAAGGGACUCCUCCAUGGGAGGUGCCGGGUCAGGCUUCAUAUAUAGAACCGCACAAGCGCACGAGGUUUCCAUCAGCGAGUGGAAGCUCCGGUGGCCCGGUGACCUAAGUGAGGCAUCUUCCCUGGCAUAUUCUUGAGCAUAUGGGAACUUCUCCCUUUCUUGCCCACAUGCUUUGCUUCCCUUUGGAGUAUUCAAAGUAUAUUCUAUGCUUUUUCGCGUGGCUUUUGGAGCCCUCUGUGAUUGUGGAAUAAUUUGGGCGAUUGCGAACGGUCUCUGCCUGUUUUAGAGUGGCUUGACGCAGCAUGGGCUGGAAAGGUUAUUUGUUUGGUGCGUGGUCGUCUAGAUCAAAUCUUGCGUGGACCUACUGAACAGCUGACAACACUAUGGCUCUGCCUUUGCAUUGUCUGCUACCCCUACCUGUACUAUACUCCUGAUGGUGUUUUUCAGGAACAAAUCUCAGCGGGCAAGUAAAUCAUAUUAUCUCCAAUGUAUUCCUCUUGUUUUUUUCAAACAAAAGAUAGAUCUUAUUGACUCAAAAUGGAUCAUCAAGAGAAUGCGAACAUAAUGAACAUAUACCUAAUCGCUGCAUAACAAAAAUGCAUAUAGCCAACACCAACACUCUCUAAGAAACACGCCGACAAACAACAAAAUCAUAUAAACCCAAAGCUAUGCACAGACGAAGAAAACAAAAAGGAAAAACUGAAGCAAUCAAAACAAAGAUCACCAUACUAUGAUAACUAUCAUAUUUGCACCAACCAUCUCUUGACAUCACAAGGACCAUGAGGAAGGUUCUUCAACAACAUCACUUUAGAAAGAGAACGUCGCUUAGGCCCCACCGUCGCCUGAUCCAACCACCGAAGACCACAUACUAAGUUUUCAUCCUGAAGAUCAAGUUUGAGUAAACCCGAGCAAUGCCUUCAACAUGCCAAUAACGAAAAAACAUCAACAUUUCCGGGUCAAUAACCAACUAGGGUCUGACCCAUGGUUUUCAUACUGGAGCUCGAGACCUGUACUAGAGAAGCACGACCUAAUCAAAGUGAUCAAGUGUUGUCGCCACCACUUUCACGAUCCUAGCAGCUACAUACGUAGCACGGUCUUGAUGUGAGAUGUCACGCAAGUGAAUACUGUGAACGCACGCGCAGGCAACCGAGCCGUGAUAAGAGCCGGUCGCCAACAAAGGCUCUAACGAUGAAGUUCGCCAUCGCACACGUGGCGGAGACUAAUGUGGGAGGAAGGUCACUAGCACCGCCAAAAUCCCAAUUCGGGAAGCUUCGGCAAUCCCGCACCGUCCUCAUGAUCCGCAGUUCUCGCCUGUGGUGACAGAAUCGGUCAGAAAAGCGUACUCGUCGUUGCUGCAAGGUCUAAAGAUCGAAGACCAUCUGGCCCGUCACAAUAAUCACCUAGCAGUGCAUGGCAUAGAUGCCACACCCUGCGCCCAAGAAGAGGACCGGCAUGUUGGGACACAACAGGCCGCUACUAUUGAUACGUCCAUUUUGCAUCAUGCUUUUAUAUUGAUAUUUAUUGCAUUAUGGGUUGUUACUACAUAUUAUAUCACAAUACUUAUACAUUUUCUCUCUUAUUUUAUAAAGUUUACAUGGAGAGGGAGAAUGCCGACAGCUGGAAUUCUGGACUAGAAAAGGAGCAAAUAUUAGAGACCUAUUCUGCGCAACUCCAAAAGUCCUGAAACUUCACGGAGAAUAUUUUUGGAAUAUAUAAAAAAUAUUGGGCGAAGAAAGCACCAGAGGGGGGCCACCUACCAUCCACAAGGGUGGAGGGCGCGCCCUCCGGUCUUAUGGGCCCCCUGGCAGGCCCCCAACGCCCAUCUUCUACUAUAUGGUGUGUUUUGACCUGGAAAAAAAUUAGAAGGAAGCUUUCGGGACGAAGCGCCGUCGUCUCGAGGCGGAACUUGGGCAGAACCAAUCAAGGGCUCCGGCGGAGCUGUUCUGUCGGGGAAACAUCCCUCCUGGAGGGGGAAAUCAUCGCCAUCGUCAUCACCAACGAUCCUCUCAUCAAGAGGGGUCAAUCUUCAUCAACAUCUUCACCAGCAACAUCUCCUCUCAAACCCUAGUUCAUCUCUUGUAUCCGAUCUUUGUCUCAAAAUCUCAGAUUGGUAACUGUGGGUUGCUAGUAGUGUUGAUUACUCCUUGUAGUUGAUGCUACUUGGUUUAUUCGGUGGAAGAUCAUAUGUUCAGAUCCUUAAUGAUAAUUAAUACUCCUCUGAUUAUGAACAUGAAUAUGCUUUGUGAGUAGUUACAUUUGUUCCUGAGGACAUGGGAGAAGUCUUGUUAUAAGUAAUCAUGUGAAAUUGGUAUUCGUUCGAUAUUUCGAUGAUAUGUAUGUUGUCUUUCCUCUAGUGGUGUUAUGUGAACGUCGACUACAUGACAUUUCACCAUUAUUUGGGCCUAGGGGAAGGCAUUGGGAAGUAAUAAGUAGAUGAUGGGUUGCUAGAGUGACAGAAGCUUAAACCCUAGUUUAUGCGUUGCUUCGUAAGGGGCUGAUUUGGAUCCAUAUGUUUCAUGCUAUGGUUAGAUUUAUCUUAAUUCUUUUUUCGUAGUUGCGGAUGCUUGCGAGAGGGGUUAAUCAUAAGUGGGAAGCGUGUCCAAGAAAGGGCAGCACCCAAGCACCGGUCCACCCACAUAUCAAAUUAUCAAAGUAACGAAUGCGAAUCAUAUGAGCAUGAUGAAAACUAACUUGACAACAAUUCCCAUGUGUCCUCGGUAACGCUUUGCUUUAUAUAAGAGUUCGUUCAGGCUUUUCCUUUGCUACAAAAAGGAUUAGACCACCUUGCUGCACCUUGUUUACUUUCGUUACUUGUUACCCGUUACGAAUUAUCUCAUCAUACAACUAUCUAUCACCGAUAAUUUCAGUGCUUGCAGAGAAUACCUUGCUGAAAACUGCUUGUCAUUUCCUUCUGCUCCUCGUUGGGUUCGACACUCUUACUUAUCGAAAGGACUACGAUAGAUCCCCUAUACUUGCGGGUCAUCAAAACUUUUCUGGCGCCAUUGCCGGGGAGUGAAGCGCCUUUGGUAAGGAAACAUUUAUAUAGUGUGUUGAAAUUUACUGUCACUUGUUACUAUGGAGAAUGAUUCUUUGAGGGGCUUGUUCGGGGUAUCUUCACCUCGACCGAAAGAGCAAAGAGUUGCUCCUCAACCUACUGCACCUACUGAAAAUAUUUAUUAUGAAAUUCCUUUGGGUAUGAUAGAGAAACUGCUAGCUAAUCCUUAUGCAGGAAAUGGAACAUUACAUCCCGAUAUGCACCUAAUCUAUGUGGAUGAAGUUUGUGGAUUAUUUAAGCUUGCAGGUAUGCCCGAGGAUGUUGUCAAGAAGAAGGUCUUCCCUUUAUCUUUGAAGGGAAAGGCAUUGACAUGGUAUAGGCUAUGUGAUGAUAUUGGAUCAUGGAACUACAACCGAUUGAAACUGGAAUUUCAUCAGAAGUUUUAUCCUAUGCAUCUGGUUCAUCGUGAUCGGAAUUAUAUAUAAUUUUUGGCCUCAUAAAGGAGAAAGUAUCGCUCAAGCUUGGGGGAGGCUUAAGUCAAUGUUAUAUUCAUGGCCCAAUCAUGAGCUCUCAAGAGAAAUUAUUAUUCAAAACUUUAUGCUCAGCUUUCUCAUAAUGAUCGCUCCAUGCUCGAUACUUCUUGUACUGGUUCUUAUAUGAAGAAGGAUAUUGAAUUCAAAUGGGAUUUAUUGGAAAGAAUUAAACGCAACUCUGAAGAUUGGGAACUCGACGAAGGUAAGGAGUCAGGUAUAAACCUUAAGUUUGAUUGUGUUAAAUCUUUUAUGGGUACCGAUGCUUUUCGUGAUUUUAGCACUAAAUAUGGACUUGACUCUGAGAUAGUAGCUUCUUUCUGUGAAUCAUUUGCUACUCAUGUUGAUCUCCCUAAGGAGAAGUGGUUUAAAUAUCAUCCUCCCAUUGAAGUUAAAGUUGUAGAACCUAUUAAAGUUGAAGAAGAAAUUAUUACUUAUAAUGUUGAUCCUAUUGUUCCUACUGCUUAUAUUGAGAAACCACCUUUUCCUGUUAGAAUAAAGGAUCAUGCUAAAGCUUCAACUAUGGGUCGUAAGAGUUAUACUAGAACACCUACACCCCCUGACAAAAUUAAAGUUGAACCUACUAUUGCUAUGGUUAAGGAUCUCUUGAUCGAUAAUAUUGAUGGGCAUGUUAUUUAUUUCUGUGAUGAAGCUGUUAGAAUUGCUGAACCCAAUCUUAAAGAUAAACAUAGACCUGUUGUUGGCAUGCCUGUUGUUUCCAUUAAAAUUGGGGAUCAUUGUUAUCAUAGUCUAUGUGAUGUGGGUGCCAGUGUGAGUGCAAUUCCUUAUACCUUGUACCAAGAAAUUAUGAUUGAUAUUGCACCUGCUGAGAUAGAAGAUAUUGAUUUUACUAUUAAGCUUGCCAAUAGAGAUACUAUUUCACCAAUUGGGAUUGUUAGAGAUGUUGAAGUCUUGUGUGGGAAAAUAAAAUACCCUACUGAUUUUCUUGUUCUUGCUUCCCCACAAGAUGAUUUUUGUCCCAUUAUAUUUGGUAGACCUUUUUCGAAUACUGUUGAUGCUAAGAUAGACUGCGAGAAAGAUAUUGUUACUGUAGGUCUAGGGGAUAUGUCUCAUGAUUUUAAUUUCUCUAAAUUUCGUAGACAACCCCAUGAUAAAGAAUUGCCUAGUAAGGAUGAAAUCAUUGGUCUUGCUUCUAUUGCUGUGCUUCCUACUGAUCCGUUAGAACAAUAUUCGCUAGACCAUGAAAAUGAUAUGUUUAUGAAUGAAAGAAGUGAAAUAGAUGAAAUAUUCUUUAAUCAAGGGCCUAUUUUGAAACACAAUUUUCCUGUUUGAAUCCUUGGGGGUCCUCCUCCACCCAAGGGUGAUCCCGUGUUUGAGCUUAAACAAUUACCUGAUACUUUGAAAUAUGCUUACCUUGAUGAAAAGAAGAUAUAUCCUAUUAUUAUUAGUGCUAACCUUUGAGAGCAUGAAGAAAAUAAAUUAUUGAAAACUCUGAAGAAGCACCAUGCUGCCAUUGGAUAUACUCUUGAUGACCUUAAGGGCAUUAGUCCCACUCUUUGUCAGCACAAAAUUAAUUUGGAGCAAGAUGCUAAACCAGUUGUUGAUCACCAAUGACGGUUAAAUCCCAAAAUGAAAGAAGUGGUAAGAAAUGAAAUACUAAAGCUUCUGGAGGCAGGUAUAAUUUAUCCUAUUGCUGAUAGUAGCUGGGUAAGUCCAGUUCAUUGUGUCCCUAAGAAGGGAGGUAUUACUGUUGUUCCUAAUGAUAAGAAUGAAUUGAUUCCACAAAGAAUUGUUACAGGUUAUAGAAUGGUAAUUAAUUUUCGCAAAUUGAAUAAAGCUACUAGAAAAGAUCAUUACGCCCUACCUUUUAUUGAUCAAAUGCUAUCCAAACAUACACAUUUUUUGCUUUCUAGAUGGUUAUUCUGGUAUUUCUCAAAUACUUGUGUCAAAAGAUGAUCAGGAGAAGACCACUUUUACUUGCCCUUUCGGUACCUUUGCUUAUAGACGUAUGCCUUUUGGUUUAUGCAAUGCACCUGCUCCCUUUCAAAGAUGUAUGACUGCUACAUUCUCUUAUUUUUGUGAAAAGAUUGUUUUGAUUUUCAUGGAUGAUUUCUCCGUUUACGAAACUUCUUUUGAUGAUUGCUUAAGCAACCUUGAUCGAGUUUUGUAGAGAUGUCAAGAAACUAAUCUUGUCUUGAAUUGGGAGAAGUGCCACUUUAUGGUUAAUGAAGGCAUUGCCUUGGGGCAUAAAAUUUCUGAAAGAUGUAUUGAAGUUGAUAAAGCUAAAGUAGAUGCUAAAAAGAUGUUGUGUCCUAAAGAUAUCAAAGGUGUAAGAAGUUUCCUUGGUCAUGCUAGUUUCUAUAGGAGGUUUAUUAAAGACUUCUCUAAAAUUUCUAGGCCUCUCACUAAUCUCUUGCAAAAAGAUGUUCCUUUUGUUUUUGAUGAUGAUUGUGUAGAAGCAUUUGAAAUACUUAAGAAAGCCUUGAUUUCUGCUCCUAUUGUUCAGCCACCUGAUUGGAAUUUACCCUUUGAAAUUAUGUGCGAUGCAAGUGAUUAUGCUGUUGGUGUUGUUCUAGGACAAAGAGUUGAUAAGAACUUAAAUGUUAUUCGUUAUGCUAGUAAAACUCUAGACAGUGCCCAGAGAAAUUAUGCUACUACUGAAAAGGAAUUUUUAGCAGUUGUAUUUUCUUGUGAUAAGUUCAGAUCUUAUAUUGUUGAUUCCAAAGUAAUUGUUCACAUUGAUCAUGCUACUAUUAAACAUCUUAUGGAAAAGAAAGAUGCUAAACCUAGAAUUAUUAGAUGGGUUCUCUUGCUACAAGAAUUUGAUUUGCAUAUUAUUGAUAGAAAGGGAGCCGAGAACCCCGUUGCUGACAACUUAUCUAGGUUAGAAAAUGUUCUUGAUGACCCACUGCCUAUUGAUGAUAGCUUUCCUGAUGAACAAUUAGUUGUCAUAAAUGCUUCUCGUAAUACUCCAUGGUAUGCUGAUUAUGCUAAUUACAUUGUUGCUAAAUUUAUACCGCCUAGUUUCACAUACCAGCAAAAGAAAAAGUUUUUCUAUGAUUUAAGACCUUACUUUUGGGAUGACCCACACCUUUAUAAAUAAGGAGUAGAUGGUGUUAUUAGAAGUUGUGUACCUGAGCAUGAACAGGGACAGAUCUUACGCAAGUGCCACUCAGAGUCUUACGGAGGACACCACGCUGGAGAUAAAACUGCGCACAUGGUAUUGCAAUCUGGUUUUUAUUGGCCUACUCUCUUCAAGGAUGCUCGUAAGUUUGUCUUGUGACGAAUGCCAAAGAAUUGGUAAUAUUAGUAGACGUCAGGAAAUGCCUAUGAAUUAUUUAGUUGUUAUUGAACCAUUUGAUGUUUGGGGCUUUGAUUAUAUGGGACCUUUUCCUUCCUCUAAUGGGUAUACACAUAUUUUAAUUGAUGUUGAUUACGUUACUAAGUGGGUAGAAGCUAUUGCAACUAGUAGUGUUGAUUAUAACACUUCUAUUAAGAUGCAUAAAGAAGUUAUUUUUCUGAGGUUUGGAGUCCCUAGAUAUUUAAUGAAUGAUGGCGGUUCACAUUUUAUUCAUGGUGCUUUCCAUAAAAUGCUUGCUAAAUAUGAUGUUAACCAUAGAAUCGCAUCUUGGUCAAGUAGAAUUAAGCAAUAGAGAGAUUAAAUUGAUCUUGCAAAAGACUGUUAAUAGAUCUAGAAAGAAUUAGUCUAAGAAACUUGAUGAUGCAUUAUGGGCUUAUAGACCUGCUUAUAAGAAUCCUAUGGGUAUGUCUCCGUAUAAACUGGUUUAUGGAAAAGCAUGUCACUUACCUGUUGAACUAGAACAUAGGGCAUAUUGGGUUAUUAAAGAGCUCAAAUGUGAUUUCAAACUUGCCGGUGAGAAGAGGUUAUUUGACAUUAGCUCACUUGAUGAAUGGAGAACCCAAGCCUAUGAGAAUGCCAAGUUGUUUAAAGAAAAAGUUAAAAGAUGGCAUGAUAAAAGGAUACAAAAGCGCGAGUUUAAUGUAGGUGAUCAUGUUUUGCUAUACAACUCUCGUUUAAGAUUUUUUGCAGGAAAACUUCUCUCUAAAUGGGAAGGUCCUUACAUUAUCGAGGAGGUCUAUCGUUCCGGUGCCAUCAAGAUCAACAAUGCCGAAGGUACAAAUCUGAAGGUGGUAAACGGUCAAAGUAUCAAACAUUAUAUCUCAGGUACUCCCAUAAAUGUUGAGACCAAUAUUAUUGACACCGUAACACUGGAGGAGUACAUAAGGGACACUUUCCAGAACGUUUCAGACUCCGAAAAAGAAUAGGUAUGUGGUACGGUAAGUAAACCGACUCCAAGACGUUUCCAAUGGCAAUUUUUCUCUGUUUUGGAAUAUUUAAAAAUUUAGGAAAAUUAAAAGUAGUCCGAAAGAGACACGAGACGACCACAAGGGUGGAGGGCGCGCCCUACCCCCCUGGGCGUGCCCCCUGCCUUGUGGCUACCUCGUGUGCCCUCCGGACUCCGUUUUCUUGCACAACACUACUUUUGGUCGGUAAAAAAUCAUUAUAUAAUCUCCCGAAGGUUUUGACCACCGUACCACGGCAAUAUCCCCUAUUUUCGUUUUGAACUAUUUUCUGCCAAAGUUUUCAAGGCCAGGCAUCAUGUCGUCCUCCUCCUCCAACAACGCGGACGGCGAUGCUUGGUUGAUGCAGAUGGAACUUAGAAGGGAGGAUACCGAAGGAGCCACGAUGGAGGAGGAUGAAGGAGAUUCGCUUGAGGAACAACCUCUGGCAUCAGAGAGGGGUACUCUGGCAGGCAUCUCCACCAUUCCAAAUCCCCAUCAAGCAAUAGGAGCUACAAACAACCAUGAAGACCAAGAUGUUCGAGAAGGGCUUCCCCCUAGGAGGCCCUUGCACAGGGAAGAGCUCAUGGGGGCCUGAAAAUAAGCAUCUUAUGGAGGUAAUUCAGAAGAAUGCAAAUAUGCUCCAACAUGUGCUCCAAGAACUGCAAGUUCUGAAAGGUGCAUUAAUGAAGCUAAUGGAUUCAUCAACAACUCCAUCAUCACCACCUUCGAAGAAAGAGACAUAAAUACAUGGAUAUGGGCACUCCCUUUGGCAACUGCCAAGCUUGGGGAAGGUGCCCCGGUAUCGUAUCACCAUCACAUAUUUAUCGUUUUUCUUAGUUCGAUCCUUUUGGUUAUAUCUUGGUCUAGUAGAAUAAUGUUUUUAGUAUGAUCUAGCUUUGAGUUUCGCUUUAUGUUCCCUCUAUGUAAUCGAGUCCGUGAGUUAUAUAUAAUAGAGUAGUUUUGAGUUGAGGGCUUUGCUUUCUUGAUAUGAUCUUGAGGGAAUUAAAUAAAAUAAAGAAUAAAAAUAAAUAAAAAGAUCAUAUAUUGAUCUUAUGGAGAGUAAUGACUUCACAUAAAGAGUAUGAUGAAUACAAGUUGUUGAGAGUUGACAAACAUAGUUUUGGUCAUUGUUGCAAAAUAGGAAGUAAUAAAGAAAGAGAGGCUUCACAUAUAAAUAUACUAUCUUGGACAUCUUUUGUAAUUGUGAGCACUCAUUAAAAUAUGACAUGCUAAAAAGUUGAUGUUGGACAAGGAAGACAACAUAACGGGUUAUGUUUUCUUAUAUCCGAAUAGAAGUUAUAUUGUCAUGGAUCAUCCAACAUGUUGAGCUUGCCUUUCCCUCUCAUGCUAGCCAAAUUCUUUGCACCAAGUAGAGUUACUACUUGUGCUUCCAAACAUCCCUUAAACCAGUUUUGCCAUGAGAGUCCACCAUACCUACCUAUGGAUUGAGUAAGAUCCUUCAAGUAAGUUGUCAUCGGUGCGAGCAAUAAAAAUUGCUCUCUAAAUAUGUAUGAUCUAUUACUGUGAAGAAAAUAAGAUUUAUAUGAACUUGUGAUAUGGAGGAAAUAAAAGCGACAGAUUGCAUAAUAAAGGUCUUUAUCACAAGCGGCAAUAUAAAGUGACGUUCUUUUGCAUUAAGAUUUUGUGCAUCCAACCAUAAAAGCGCAUGAAAACCUCUGCUUCCCUCUGCGAAGGGCCUAUCUUUUACUUUUAUCUUCUACCCUUAUACAAGAAUCAUGGUGAUCUUCACCUUUCCGAUAUAUAUAUCUAUAUAUAUAUAUAUAUAUAUAUAUAUAAAAUAUACCCACUCGGAUGUAGGUUAUCAUAAAGUAUUAUUGUUGACAUUACCCUUGAGGUAAAAGGUUGGGAGGCGAAACUAUAAGCCCCUAUCUUUCUCUGUGUCCGAUUGAAGCUUUGAACCCAUAAGUAUCGCGUGAGUGUUAGCAAUUGUGAAAGAUUAAAUGAUAGUUGAGUAUGUGGACUUGCUGAAAAGCUCUUGAAGUGACUCUUUCCGAUGUUAUGAUAAAUUGCAAUUGCUUCAGUGUCUGAGAUCAUAGUUUGUUAGUUUUCAAUGAAGUUUCUGAUUCAUACUUUAUUUUGCGAACGAAUUGUUACUUUAGCAUAAGAAAUUAUAUGGCAUUAUAUGUUGCUGUUCUAAACAUGAUCAUGAUGCCCUCACGUCCAUAUUUUAUUUUAUCGACACCUCUAUCUCUAAACAUGUGGACAUAUUUUUCGAUUUCGGCUUUCGCUUAAGGACAAGCGAGGUCUAAGCUUGGGGGAGUUGAUACGUCCUUUUUGCAUCAUGCUUUUAUAUUGAUAUUUAUUGCAUUAUGGGUUGUUACUACAUAUUAUAUCACAAUACUUAUGCCUUUUCUCUCUUAUUUUAUAAGGUUUACAUGAAGAGGGAGAAUGCCGGCAGCUGGAAUUCUGGACGGGAAAAGGAACAAAUAUUAGAGACCUAUUCUGCGCAACUCCAAAAGUCCUGAAACUUCACGGAGAAUAUUUUUGGAAUAAUAUAAAAAAUAUUGGGCGAAGAAAGCACCAGAGGGGGCCACCUGCCGUCCACUAGGGUGGAGGGGCGCGUCCUACCCCCUGGGCGCGCCCUCCGGUCUUGUGGGCCCCCUGGCAGGCUCCCGACGCCCAUCUUCUGAUAUAUGGUGUGUUUUGACCUGAAAAAAAUCAGAAGGAAGCUUUCGGGAUGAAGUGUCGCCAUCUCGAGGCGGAACUUGGGCAGAACCAAUCUAGCGCUCCGGCGGAGCUGUUCUGUCGGGGAAACAUCCCUCCCGGAGGGGGAAAUCAUCGCCAUCGUCAUCACCAACGAUCCUCUCAUCAAGAGGGGGUCAAUCUCCAUCAACAUCUUCACCAGCACCAUCUCCUCUCAAACCCUAGUUCAUCUCUUUGUCUCAAAACCUCAGAUUGGUACCUGUGGGUUGCUAGUAGUGUUGAUUACUCCUUGUAGUUGAUGCUAGUUGGUUUAUUCGAUGGAAGAUCAUAUGUUCAGAUCCUUAAUGAUAAUUAAUACUCCUCUGAUUAUGAACAUGAAUAUGCUUUGUGAGUAGUUAUGUUUGUUCCUGGGGACAUGCAUGGGAGAAGUCUUGUUAUAGGUAAUCAUGUGAAUUUGGUAUUCGUUCGAUAUUUCGAUGAGAUGUAUGUUGUCUUUCCUCUAGCGGUGUUAUGUGAAUGUCGACUACAUGACACUUCACCAUUAUUUGGGACUAGGGGAAGGCAUUAGGAAGUAAUAAGUAGAUGAUGGGUUGCUAGAGUGACAGAAGCUUAAACCCUAGUUUAUUCGUUGCUUCAUAAGGGGCUGAUUUGGAUCCAUAUGUUUCAUGCUAUGGUUAGAUUUAUCUUAAUUCUUCUUUCGUAGUUGCAAAUGCUUGCGAGAGGGGUUAAUCAUAAGUGGGAGGCGUGUCCAAGGAAGGGCAGCACCCAAGCACCGGUCCCCCCACAUAUCAGAUUAUCAAAGUAACGAACGCGAAUCAUAUGAGCAUGAUGAAAACUAACUUGACAACAAUUCCCAUGUGUCCUCGGGAGCGCUUUGCUUUAUAUAAGAGUUCGUCCAGGCUUGUCCUGUGCUACAAAAAGGAUUGGGCCACCUUGCUGCGCCUUGUUUACUUUUGUUACUUGUUACCGUUAUGAAUUAUCUCAUCAUACAACUAUAUGUCACCGAUAAUUUCAGUGCUUGCAGAGAUUACCUUACUAAAAACCGCUUGUCAUUUCCUUCUGCUCCUCGUUGGGUUCGACACUCUUACUUAUCGAAAGGACUAUGAUAGAUCCCCUAUACUUGUGGGUCAUCAACUAUUGCCCGCGUAUCUAUAGACAGGAUCAUGACCAUCAAUGUCACACCACCACAGACUACCGGCUUGACCACAUUUGCCAUGGCCGCCGUUACGCAAUCACUCCCUCUGCCUCAUACCGCAAUAGCAUCUCACCGCCGAAAACUACCGGAGCGGAGACCUCCCCGCCGCCACCUUCAUUGCCCUGUGUCGGGGUUGAGUACAACAACUAUCCUCUAGCAGCGGCAAGGGGAAGGGAGGAUAGGAAGGUACGAGGCGGCAAUGACCGGGAAGGGGGAUCGGGGAUGAAGGCGGCGACGGCAGGCAAGGGAGAUCCAAUCAAAAUAUCUAUUAGAAAAGGACGUGACAUAAAAAAUACUAAAACAGACAUGAUCAUUAAAGAUCUCAACUGGUAGUUUGAAGUCAUUGUCCGUACAACAGGUAAACUAACCUCAAAGAUUUCAAGAGUUGCAUUACUUGUUGCUUCCUCUCUCUUAGGAAGGUGUUGGCCCCACAAGUGCAAAAGUUCAUGGAAAGCAGCAACUUCCUCUUAACUGGAUUUAAAGUUUAUCAAACCAUAAGAAGUACUUGGACUGCAACUAAUGAUCAGUAAAUGCACAUAAUAAUAAAAUGUGUCUUGGUCCCUAAUGGAACCAGUGAGACUGCCAAUCUCACUAACCUUGCUAGUUGCAAUGAUUAAUACAUUGUGUGGAAGGAAUUGAUGAUUGCAAAAAAAAGUGGCUUGAUGAGUGUUAUUUUUACGCUCAUCAAACUUGAGUUUAAAUCAAGUUAUUUCAUAAAUCGAGAUAUCAGCUCGGAUAUUGCUACUAAUGACUAAUGAAUGCAAAGGAUUCCAAAUACCCGAUCUUUAUUUUAUUGUCACAAAAUGAACUAUUUAUGAACGAAAUCAAGCCAAUAAAUGGAAAGGGGUAAAGAGGAGAUAUAGAGUAGAUCAAGUGGUAGGCACAGCAAGAAGAACAGAGCGCAAGACGACAUUACAUAAGGCCACACAUGCUCGUAUGUGCGGUCGUAUGGACUGCCAAUGGCGUCCCUUGAUCCAACCAGAUAAACUUUACAAAAGGCUCCAUGCUAGAGAGCUCCAAAACAUCGCAGAAAUAACUGAAACCUUCAUCUUCGUCAUCAUCAACCCUAGCUGUCGCCAUUUCCAUCUCCAUGUCCAUAGCCACCUCUAUCUUCAUCACCGUAGCACUCAUCCAACCAGCCAUACGUUUGUAAUCGUGUAUCACAUCCAACAACUAUUGUAAGACACACUAUCAAUCAAUUUUCAUGAUGUGUUCUGCAAUGGUUUCUUCUUGUGAUCUGAUCUCCAUAUGUGAGUAGUUCGUUAAAGUCAUGGGUUGAGGCAUGACCCUAGAACCCUAUGUAUUUGUUGGAGGGAUCAGUGGAAGUACUUUGAAUUAGCGUCCCAUAUGUGUAACAUAAAAUUGCUUCAUAGUUGUCUUUUGUCUCGUCUAUGUUCUUUGUCCCUGCAAGUACAUAAGAUCAUUGAGAGUGAACCACGGAGAGGCUAAUGGCAGGGAGACCAUGAAGUGUUAUUUUGGACAGUAGUGACAGAAAGGUUCAGCAUGGUAACAUGAAUCCGAUCUCCGAGGAUAUGAUUUUUUUGGAAUGAACACAUCAUUCAAUUUAACAUACAGAGUACUAAAGAUUUCAUCAAAAACUUACAAUAGUUUGCCAAACAAAGGCUAAUAGAAAAAAGAAUAGAGGUAUAGACAUAAUAUCCAUAAUUGGAUUGAAAAUAGCAUAAGCUUCAGGCAAUUUGGCAAAGAAAAAACUACUUUUACCAAAAGUUUAUUGUGAUCUUUUUGUUUGAAUAACAAUUAAAGUGAAGUAGGCUCAGGAAUAAUGAAUCUCUUUAUGAUAAACAAAUCCAUUUUGCAAGGUGUAGUCAUUAAAUGCCCAAUGGUUUUGUUUGAUUCUAUCUUAAUUAUCGUGGCAACCCCGCAUGACGGAUAGGGCCUUUCGGUUGGACAACUGACUCCUGAUGCAGGUCACACAUUGGUAAGACGUAAUUUGGACACAUCCCCCACUUUGAUACAUUGCAAGCACAUCUCGAUGGAUGACUUUCAAAGAAAAAAUUAAUAUCAUGAUGACCCUGUUCGCAAAUAUAUGUUUGCAAGAAAAGUCCUCAUACACAUGCCUAUAUUUAGGUUCUCCCUCCGUACCACGACAUGUGAUAAUUGUAUUGACAAAUAAGAGAGUGAUUAUCAUCUAAUCCACCCGUUCCAUAAUUCUUGUCGUUAUUUAAGUUCUUCCUCCGUACCAUGAAAAGAAUUAUGGAAUGGGGGGGGGGAGUAACUACUAUUAUGGACCCAUUGUCCAAGGAAGGACUACUCACACAUAGGCAUGGUGGUACCAAGGAUGAUGCAGAUUUCUUCGGUGAUGGAUUUCCCCUCCCACAUGGUACUGGAACAUUGAUACGCCUCCAACGUAUCUAUAAUUUUUGAUUGUUCCAUGCUAUUAUAUUAUCUGCUUUGGAUGUUUUAUAUGCAUUAAUAUGCUAUUUUAUAUUAUUUUUGGGACUAACCUAUUAACCUAGAGCCCAGUGCCAGUUUCUGUUUUUUUCCCUUGUUUUAGAGUUUCGCAGAAAAGGAAUACCAAACGGAGUCCAACCGGAAUAAAACUUUUGCGAUGAUUUUUCUUGGACCAGAAGACAUCUAGAGGACUUGGAGUGCAAGUCAGAGAAGCCACGAGGCGGCCACAAGGACGGAGGGCGCUCCCAGGGGGGUAGGGCGUGCCCCACCCUUGUGGGCCCCUCAUGACUCCACCGACCUAGUUUCUUCGCCUAUAUAUUCUCAUAUAUCCCAAAACCAACAGAGGGAGCCACGAAAACACUUUUCCACCGCCGCAACCUUCUGUACCCGUGAGAUCCCAUCUAGGGGCCUUUUCCGGCAUCCUGCCGGAGGGGGAUUAGAUCACGGAGGGCUUCUACAUCAACACCAUUGCCCUUCUGAUGAUGCGUGAGUAGUUUACCACGGACCUACGGGUCCAUAGCUAGUAGCUAGAUGGCUUCUUCUCUCUCUUUGAUUCUCAAUACCAUGUUCUCCUCGAUGUUCUUGGAGAUCUAUUUGAUGUAAUACUUUUUUGCGGUGUGUUUGUCGAGUUCCGAUGAAUUGUGGAUUUAUGAUCAACUUAUCUAUGAAUAUUAUUUGAAUCUUCUCUGAAUUCUUAUAUGCAUGAUUUAAUAUCUUUGCAAGUCUCUUCAAACUAUCGAUUUGGUUUAGCCAACUAGAUUGAUUUUUCUUGCAAUGGGAGAAGUGCUUAGCUUUGGGUUCAAUCUUGCGGUGUCCUUUCCCAGUGACAGCAGGGGCAACAAGGCACGUACUGUAUUGUUGCCAUCGAGGAUAAAAAGAUGGGGUUUACACCAUAUUGCGUGAGUUUAUUCCUCUACAUCAUGUCAUCUUAUUUAGUGCGUUACUCUGUUCUUCAUGAACUUAAUACUCUAGAUGCAGGCAGGAGUCGGUUGAUGUGUGGAGUAAUAGUAGUAGAUGCAAGCAGGAGUCAGUCUACUUGACACGGAUGUGAUGCCUAUAUUCAUGAUCAUUGCCUUAGAUAUCGUCAUAACUUUGCGCUUUUCUAUCAAUUGCUCGGCAGUAAUUUGUUUACCCACCGUAAUAUUUUCUAUCUUGAGAGAAGCCUCUAGUGAAACCUAUGGCCCCGGGGUCUAUUUUCCAUCAUAUAAGUUUCCGAUCUACAAUUUUAGUUUCCAAUUUACUUCCUUUGCAAUCUUUUAUUUUUUGUUCUAUAAACCAAAAAUACCAAAAGUAUUUACUUUACCGUUUAUCUAUCUCUAUCAGAUCUCACUUUGCAAAUAACUGUGAAGGGAUUGACAACUCCUUUAUCGCGUUGGGUGCAAGUUGGUGUUUGUUUGUGCAGGUAUUGUUGGGGAACGCGGUAAUUUCAAAAAAAUUCCUACACACAUGCAAGAUCUAUCAUGGUGAUGCAUAGCAACGAGAGGGGAGAGUGCAGUCCAUGUACCCUCGUAGACCGUAAGCGAAAGCAUUAUGACAACGCGGUUGAUGUAGUCGUACAUCUUCACGAUCCGACCAAUCCUAGUAUUGAAAGUACGGCACCUCCGCGAUCUGCACACGUUCAGCUCGAUAACGUCCCACGAACUCUCGAUCCAGCUGAGUGUCGAGGGAGAGCUUCGUCAGCACGACGGCGUGAUGACGGUGAUGAUGAAGCUACCGGCGCACGGCUUCGCCUAAGCACUACGACAAUAUGACCGAGGUGGAUUAUGGUGGAGGGGGGGCACCACACACGGCUAAGACAAUGAUCAACUUGUGUGUCUAUGGGGUGCCCCCUCCCCCAUAUAUAAAGGAGUGGAGGAGGGGGAGGGCCAGCCCUCUCUAUGGCGUGCCCUAGGGGAGUCCUACUCCCACUGGGAGUAGGAUUCCCCCCUUCCAAGUAGGAGUAGGAGAGGAAGGAAGGAGGAGAGAGGGAGGAAGGAAAGGGGGCCCGGCCCCCUCCCAAUUCGGAUGAUGUGAUCCCGUUAAUCAAAUGACAACUCAUGUCUAUGGCUAAGAAACUUAACCAUCUUUGAUUCAACGAGCUAGUUAAGUAGAGGCAUACUAGUGACACUCUGUUUGUCUAUGUAUUCACACAUGUACUAAGUUUCCGGUUAAUACAGUUCUAGCAUGAAUAAUAAACAUUUAUCAUGAUAUAAGGAAAUAUAAAUAACAACUAUUAUUGCCUCUAGGGCAUAUUUCAUUCAGUCUCCCACUUGCACUAGAGUCAAUAAUCUAGAUUACACAGUAAUGAUUCUAACACCCAUAGAGUCUUGGUGCUGAUCAUGUUUUGCUCAUGAGAGAGGCUUAGUUAACGGGUCUGCAACAUUCAGAUCGGUAUGUAGCUUGCAAAUCUCUAUGUCGCCCUCCUUGACUUGAUCGCGAAUGGAAUUGAAGCGUCUCUUGAUGUGCUUGGUUCUCUUAUGAAAUCUAGAUUCCUUUGCCAAGGUAAUUGCACCAGUAUUGUCAUAAUAGAUUUUCAUUGGACUCGAUGCAUUAGGUAUGGCACCUAGAUCGGAUAUGAACUCCUUCAUCCAGACUCCUUCAUUUGCUGCUUCUGAAGCUGCUAUGUACUCCGCUUCACACGUAGAUCCCGCCACGACGCUUUGCUUAGAACUGCACCAACUGACAGCUCCACCGUUCAAUAUAAACACAUAUCCGGUUUGUGACUUAGAUUCAUCCGGAUCAGUGUCAAAGCUUGCAUCGACGUAACCAUUUACGACGAGCUCUUUGUCACCUCCAUAAACAAGAAACAUAUCCUUAGUCCUUUUCAGGUAUUUCAGGAUGUUCUUGACCGCUGUCCAGUGAUCCACUCCUGGAUUACUUUGGUACCUCCCUGCUAAACUAAUAGCUAGGCAUACAUCAGGUCUGGUACACAACAUUGCAUACUUAGAACCUAUGGCUGAAGCAUAGGGAAUGACUUUCAUUUUCUCUCUGUCUUCUGCAGUGGUCGGGCAUUGAGUCUGACUCAACUUACUCCUUGUAACAUAGGCAAGAACCCUUUCUUUGCUUGAUCCAUUUUGAACUUCUUAAAAACUUUAUCAAGGUAUGUGCUUUGUGAAAGUCCAAUUAAGCGUCUUGAUCUAUCUCUAUAGAUCUUGAUGCCCAAUAUAUAAGCAGCUUCACCGAGGUCUUUCAUUGAAAAACUCUUGUUCAAGUAUCCUUUUAUGCUAUCCAGAAAUUCUAUAUCAUUUCCAAUCAACAAUAUGUCAUCCACAUAUAAUAUUAGAAAUGCUACAGAGCUCCCACUCACUUUCUUGUAAAUACAGGCUUCUCCGAAAGUCUGUAUAAAACCAUAUGCUUUGAUCACACUAUCAAAACGUUUAUUCCAACUCCGAGAUGCUUGCACCAUUCCAUAAAUGGAUCGCUGGAGCUUGCACACUUUGUCAGCAUCCUUUGGAUUGAUAAAACCUUCAGGUUGCAUCAUAUACAACUCUUCUUCCAGAAAUCCAUUUAGGAAUGCAGUCUUUACAUCCAUUUGCCAAAUUUCAUAAUCAUAAAAUGCAACAAUUGCUAACAUGAUUCGGACGAACUUAAGCAUAGCUAUCGGUGAGAAAGUCUCAUCGUAGUCAACUCCUUGAACUUGUCGAAAACCUUUCGCAACAAGUCGAGCUUUGUAGACAAUAACAUUACCGUCAACGUCAGUCUUCUUCUUGAAGAUCCAUUUAUUCUCGAUGGCUUGCCGAUCAUUGGGCAAGUCAACCAAAGUCCACACUUUGUUCUCAUACAUGGAUCCCAUCUCAGAUUUCAUGGCCUCAAGCCAUUUUGCGGAAUUUGGGCUCAUCAUCGCUUCCUCAUAGUUCGUAGGUUCGUCAUGGUCAAGUAACAUGACCUCCAGAACUGGAUUACCGUACCACUCUGGUGCGGAUCUUACUCUGGUUGACCUACAAGGUUUAGUAGUAACUUGAUCUGAAGUUAUGUGAUCAUCAUCAUUAGCUUCCUCACUAAUUGGUGUAGGAGUCACAGGAACUAAUUUCUGUGAUGAACUACUUUCCAAUAAGGGAGCAGAUACAGUUACCCCAUCAAGUUCUACUUUCCUCCCACUCACUUCUUUCGAGAGAAACUCCUUCUCUAGAAAGGAUCCAUUCUUAGCAAUGAAUGUCUUGCCUUCGGAUCUGUGAUAGAAGGUGUACCCAACAGUCUCCUUUGGGUAUCCUAUGAAGACACAUUUCUCCGAUUUGGGUUCGAGCUUAUCAGGUUGAAGCUUUUUCACAUAAGCAUCGCAGCUCCAAACUUUAAGAAGCGACAACUUGGGUUUAUUGCCGAACCACGGUUCAUAAGGUGUCGUCUCAACGGAUUUAGAUGGUGCCCUAUUUAACGUGAAUGCAGCCGUCUCUAAAGCAUAACCCCAAAACAAUAGCGGUAAAUCAGUAAGAGACAUCAUAGAUCGCACCAUAUCUAAUAAAGUGCGGUUACGAUGUUCGGACACACCAUUACGUUGUGGUGUUCCGGGUGGCGUGAGUUGUGAAACUAUUCCGCAUUGUUUCAAAUGAAGACCAAACUCGUAACUCAAAUAUUCUCCUCCAUGAUCAGAUCGUAGAAACUUUAUUUUCUUGUUACGAUGAAUUCCACUUCUCUCUGAAAUUCUUUGAACUUUUCAAAUGUUUCAGACUUAUGUUUCAUCAAGUAGAUAUACCCAUAUCUGCUCAAAUCAUCUGUGAAGGUGAGAAAAUAAUGAUACCCGCCGCGAGCCUCAAUAUUCAUCGGACCACAUACAUCAGUAUGUAUGAUUUCCAACAAAUCUGUUGCUCGCUCCAUUGUUCCAGAGAACGGAGUUUUAGUCAUCUUGCCCAUGAGGCAUGGUUCGCAAGUACCAAGUGAUUCCAAAAGUCCAUCAGUAUGGAAUUUCUUCAUGCGCUUUACACCAAUAUGACCCAAACGGCAGUGCCACAAAUAAGUUGCACUAUCAUUAUCAACUCUGCAUCUUUUGGCUUCAAUAUUAUGAAUAUGUGUGUCACUACUAUCAAGAUUCAACAAAAAUAGACCACUCUUCAAGGGUGCAUGACCAUAAAAGAUAUUACUCAUAUAACUAGAACAACCAUUAUUCUCAGAUUUAAAUGAAUAACUGUCUCGCAUCAAACAAGAUCCAGAUAUAAUGUUCAUGCUCAACGCCAGCACCAAUAACAAUUAUUCAGGUCUAAAACUAAUCCCGAAGGUAGACGUAGAGGUAGCGUGCCGACGGCGAUCACAUCGACUUUGGAACCAUUUCGCACGCGCAUCGUCACCUCGUCCUUAGCCAAUCUUCGCUUAAUCCGAGUCCCUGUUUCGAGUUGCAAAUAUUAGCAACAGAACCAAUAUCAAAUACCCAGGCACUACUGCGAGCAUUAGUAAGGUACACAUCAAUAACAUGUAUAUCACAUAUACCUUUAUUCACCUUGCCAUCCUUCUUAUCCGCCAAAUACUUGGGGCAGUUCCGCUUCCAGUGACCAGUCCCUUUGCAGUAGAAGCACUCAGUCUCAGGCUUAGGUCCAGAGUUGGGCUUCUUCACUUGAGCAGCAACUUGCUUGCCGUUCUUCUUAAAGUUCCCCUUCUUCCCUUUACCCUUUUUCUUGAAACUGGUGGUCUUGUUGACCAUCAACACUUGAUGCUCUUUCUUGAUUUCUACCUCCGCAGCCUUUAGCAUUGCGAAGAGCUCGGGAAUUGUCUUAUCCAUCCCUUGCAUAUUAUAGUUCAUCACGAAGCUCUGGUAGCUUGGUGGCAGUGAUUGAAGAAUUCUGUCAAUGACACUAUCAUCAGGAAGAUUAACUCCCAGUUGAAUCAAGUGAUUGUUAUACCCAGACAUUUUGAGUAUAUGCUCACUGACAGAACUAUUCUCCUCCAUUUUGCAGCUGUAGAACUUAUUGGAGACUUCAUAUCUCUCAAACCGGGCAUUUGCUUGAAAUAUUAACUUCAACUCCUGGAACAUCUCAUAUGCUCCAUGACGUUCAAAACGUCGUUGAAGUCCCGGUUCUAAGCCGUAAAUCAUGGCACACUUAACUAUGGAGUAGUCAUCAGCUUUGCUCUGCCAGACGUUCAUAACAUCUGGCGUUGCUCCUGCAGUGGGUUUGGCACCUGGCGGUGCUUCCAGGACGUAAUUCUUCUAUGCAGCAAUGAGGAUAAUUCUCAAGUUAUGGACCUAGUCCGUGUAGUUGCUACCAUCAUCUUACAACUUGCUUUCUCUAGGAACGAAUUAAAAUUCAACGGAACAACAGCACGGGCCAUCUAUCUACAACAACAUAUACAUGCAAAAAAACUAUCAGGUACUAAGUUCAUGAUAAAUUAAAGUUCAAUUAAUCAUAUUACUAAAGAACUCCCACUUAGAUAGACAUCCCUCUAAUCAUCUAAGUGAUCAUGUGAUCCAUAUCAACUAAACCAUAUCCGAUCAUCACGUGAGAUGGAGUAGUUUUCAAUGGUGAACAUCACUAUGUUGAUCAUAUCUACUAUAUGAUUCACGCUCGACCUUUCGGUCUCAGUGUUCCGAGGCCAUAUCUGCAUAUGCUAGGCUCGUCAAGUUUAACCCGAGUAUUCUGCUUGUGCAAAACUGGCUUGCACCCGUUGUAUGUGAACGUAGAGCUUAUCACACCCGAUCAUCACGUGGUGUCUCGGCAGGACGAACUUUCGCAACGGUGCAUACUCAGGGAGAACACUUGUACCUUGAAAUUUAGUGAGAGAUCAUCUUAUAAUGCUACCGCUGAACUAAGAAAAAUAAGAUGCAGAAAGGAUAAACAUCACAUGCAAUCAAUAUAAGUGAUAUGAUAUGGCCAUCAUCAUCUUGUGCCUUUGAUCUCCAUCUCCAAAGCACCGUCAUUAUCACCAUCGUCACCGGCGCGACACCUUGAUCUCCAUCGUAGCAUCGUUGUCGUCUCGCCAACUAUUGCUUCUACGACUAUCGCUACCGCUUAGUGAUAAAGUAAAGCAAUUACAUGGUGAUUGCAUUUCAUACAAUAAAGCGACAACCAUAUGGCUCCUGCUAGUUGCCGAUAACUUUUUUACAAAACAUGAUCAUCUCAUACAAUAAAAUUUAGCAUCAUGUCUUGACCAUAUCACAUCACAACAUGCCGUGCAAAAAUAAGUUAGACGUCCUCUACUUUGUUGAUGCAAGUUUUUACGUGGCUGCUACGGGCUGAGCAAGAACCCUUCUUACCUACGCAUCAAAACCACAACGAUUUUUCAUCAAGUGUGCUAUUUUAACCUUCAACAAGGAUCAGGCGUAGCCACACUCGAUUCAACUAAAGUUGGAGAAACUGACACCCGCCAGCCACCUGUGUGCGAAGCACGUUGGUAGAACCAGUCUCGCGUAAGCGUACGCGUAAUGUCGGUCCGGGCCGCUUCAUCCAACAAUACUGCCGAAUCAAAGUAUGACAUGCUGGUAAGCAGUAUGACUAUUAUCGCCCACAACUCAUUUGUGUUCUACUCGUGCAUAUAACAUCUACGCAUAAACCUGGCUCUGAUACCACUGUUGGGGAACGCAGUAAUUUCAAAAAAAUUCCUACGCACAUGCCAGAUCUAUCAUGGUGAUGCAUAGCAACAAGAGGGGAGAGUGUAGUCCACGUACCCUCGUAGACCGUAAGCGGAAGCGUUAUGACAACGCGGUUGAUGUAGUCGUACGUCUUCACGAUCCGACCGAUCCUAGUACCGAAAGUACGGCACCUCCGCGAUCUGCACACGUUUAGCUCGGUGACGUCCCACGAACUCUCGAUCCAGCUAAGUGUUGAGGGAGAGCUUCGCCAGCACGACGGCGUGAUGAUGGUGAUGAUGAAGCUACCGGCGCAGGGCUUUGCCUAAGCACUACAAUGAUAUGACCGAGGUGGAUUAUGGUGGAGGGGCGCACCGCACACGGCUAAGACAAUGAUCAACUUGUGUGUCUAUGGGGUGCCCCCUCCCCCGUAUAUAAAGGAGUGGAGGAGGGGGGGCGGUCCUCUCUAUGGCGCGCCCCAGGGGAGUCCUACUCCCACCGGGAGUAGGAUCCUCCCUUCCAAGUAGGAGUAGGAGAGGAAGGAAGGAGGAGAGAGGGAGGAAGGAAAGGGGGACCGGCCCCCCUCCCAAUUCGGAUUGGGCUUGGGGGGGCCCUCCUAGGCCGCCUCCUCCUCUCUCCCACUAAGGCCCAAUAAGGCCCAUACACUCCCCGGGGGGUUCCGGUAACCUCCCGGAACUCUGGUAAAUGCCCGAACUCACCCGGAACCAUUCUGAUGUCCAAACAUAGCCAUCCAAUAUAUCGAUCUUUAUGUCUCAACCAUUUCAAGACCCCUCGUCAUGUCCAUGAUCACAUCCGGGACACUGAACAACCUUCGGUACAUCAAAACACAUAAACUCAUAAUACCGAUCAUCACAGAACGUUAAGCGUGCGGACCCUACGGGUUCGAGAACUAUGUAGACAUGACCGAGACUCAUUUUCGGUCAAUAACCAAUAGUGGACCUGGAUGCUCAUAUUGGUUCCUACAUAUUCUACGAAGAUCUUUAUCGGUCAAACCGCAUAACAACAUACGUUGUUCCCUUUGUCAUCGGUAUGUUACUUGCCCGAGAUUCGAUCAUCGGUAUCUCAAUAUCUAGUUCAAUCUCGUUACCGGCAAGUAUCUUCACUCGUUCCGUAAUGCAUCACCCCACAACUAACUCAUUAGUCACAUUGCUUGCAAGGCUUAUAGUGAUGUGCAUUAUCGAGAGGGCCCAGAGAUACCUCUCCGACAACACUACAAAAAUAAGACACAUCCGUGACAUUUUGGGCCGAACGAAUUUUUUUUCUGUCAUACAUAUGACACUUCUAUGACGAUAAUUGUGACAGAACCCGGUAUCAUCAUAGAUGUGGUGGGCUCCUACUUCUAUGACAAAAAAUCAUGACAGAAAAUGGGCUUUUCGUCCUAGGCGGGCCGGAGACGCAGCUGCAUGACAUUCUUUGGGCCGUCCAUGAUGGAAAAAACCGUGGUAGAAGCGAGGGCGAGGAAAAUUUCGGGGAGUUCCCGGUUAGGUUGGGAGGUCGGGGGCCGAGCGAUGCGCGUUUCUCUCGUACACGUACGCGCGUGUGUGCGAGGCGUUGGCUCUAACUGAACCCGAGCGAGGCGUUGGGCUCUAACUGAACCCGAGCGAUCGACCGAUGGCUGUUAGCUGAACCCGAUCGAGCGAUUCCUUCGCUACUGCUGCUAACUGAAGCCGAUCGANNNNNNNNNNNNNNNNNNNNNNNNNNNNNNNNNNNNNNNNNNNNNNNNNNNNNNNNNNNNNNNNNNNNNNNNNNNNNNNNNNNNNNNNNNNNNNNNNNNNNNNNNNNNNNNNNNNNNNNNNNNNNNNNNNNNNNNNNNNNNNNNNNNNNNNNNNNNNNNNNNNNNNNNNNNNNNNNNNNNNNNNNNNNNNNNNNNNNNNNNNNNNNNNNNNNNNNNNNNNNNNNNNNNNNNNNNNNNNNNNNNNNNNNNNNNNNNNNNNNNNNNNNNNNNNNNNNNNNNNNNNNNNNNNNNNNNNNNNNNNNNNNNNNNNNNNNNNNNNNNNNNNNNNNNNNNNNNNNNNNNNNNNNNNNNNNNNNNNNNNNNNNNNNNNNNNNNNNNNNNNNNNNNNNNNNNNNNNNNNNNNNNNNNNNNNNNNNNNNNNNNNNNNNNNNNNNNNNNNNNNNNNNNNNNNNNNNNNNNNNNNNNNNNNNNNNNNNNNNNNNNNNUGGAGGGCAGGAUGAACAGGACCACCCCGUGGAGGGCAGGAUGAACAGUAGACGGUGGAGGUCUGGAUGAACAGUAGCCCGUGGAGGGGUGGUUGAACAGGAGCCCGUGGAGAGGGCUGGUUGAACAGUAGCCGGUGGAGUAGCGCGUGGUGGAGGCUGGAUGAACAGGAGCCCGUGGAUGAACAGUCGCAGGUGGAGGCUGGAGGAGGUCGACGGUGGAUGAACAGUAGCCCUUGGAGGCUGGAGGGGGUCGACGGUGGAGAUGAACAGUGUCCCGUGGAGUCCCGUUUUGCGGUACGCCACACCCCUCCCGAUGAACAGGACCCCCGUUUCGACCGUAGGAGGUCCGUUUCAUCCGUUUUGCGGUACGCCACACCCCUCCUGAUCAACAGGACCCCCGUUUCGAUCGUAGGAGGUCCGUUUCCUCCGUUUUGCGGUACGCCAGACCCCUCCCGAUGAACAGGAUCCCGUUUCAAACGUGGCCGGUCGAACACAAGGCCGUUUCCUCCUUUCUGCGGUACGCUAGGCCUUGUUUCCAUCGGCUGUUCCGUCCAAGCCCUCCCGAUGAACACGACGACGCAUUCCGUUCCGACCCAGCCGGUUGGCUCCCCAUGAACACGACGACGACGCUGUUUCUCCGUUCCGACCCAGCCAUGUACACGAGCCCUGGCCGUACGUAUGCGCGAGUAGGCGUUCGAGACCCUGCCCGUAUGUACAUACGUGGCCGUAUUUUCUUUCUUGCACACUGGCCACUGUACGUACGUGUACAUGCUACGUGCGCACCUCUACUACGACACGUGCGCGCCUCUACAUCGACAGUAUGUACGUACACGUUCGCGACCAGAAUGACAAUGCUACGUAUGCUUUGACAAGGUGGGUCCCGACUGUCAGGCACUUCCUUGCCUGCGAAGAUGUAGCUGGUGGGUCCCAGCAGUCAGGGGCGAAUUGUUUUUUUUUGCCCGGACGCACUUCCUUGCGUGCGAAGAUGUAGCUGGUGGGUUCCAGCAGUCAGGGGGAAAUGUUUUUUCGCGAAAUACAGUGGCCCGUCUGGUGGGUCCCAGCUGUCAGGUGGAGGAAUCAUUAUUUUCUGCGUAAUAAGGAGGCACUUCCUUGCUGCGGCCGUGGACCCAGCUGUCAGCCUCUCCACGUACAGUCCAUGUCCGAUGGAAGUCGUUCCUUGACCACGUUGACCACGCCGCACCGAGAGCACCAGGGCGGUGGACGACGGCGAGGCCUAGGAAGGGGACGACGGGGAGCCGGGGAAGACGCGGCAGAGGAAGCCCGCGCGAAGAGGAGUACGAGGGUUCACUGGUUCGGCUGCGGUGUGAGGCUGCCGUCGCCGCAGGGCCUGGCCAGCGGUGGGAAUAGUAGGGGGCGGUGAGGCCUCCGCGGCAGCACAGCCGGCCAUGGGAGGCAGGAGCAUGCGGCACGACCGGCGCUGCUUUGGGCGGCUGGAGCAAGAAGACCAGAGGUUGAAGAAGCACUACGGCCGUUGGAUGGACAUCGUACGGUCACUGGAGCUAGAAUCGUUCAUAUUGACUAAAGUUGACAAAGGCCCCCGUCCCAGUCAACUUAGUAGGCCCACAAGUCAGCCUCCCACCAUGGUGGGUCCCAGCUAGCAGGGGGAGUAUUCAUUUUUUGUGUGCGUAAUAAGGAGGCACUUCCUUGCGUGCGAAGAUAUAGCUGGUGGGUCCGAGCUGUCAGCGGCGGUAAUGUUUUUUCGCGAAAUACAGAGGCCCUUUCGGUGGGUCCCUGAUGUCAGGUGGAGGAAUCAUUAUUUUGCGCAUAAUAAGGAGGCAUUUCCUUGCGUGCGGCCGUGGACCCAGCUGUCGGCCUCUCCACGUACAGUCCACUUCAGAUGCAUGUCGGUCGUUGACCACGUUGACCAGGCCGCGCCGAGAGCACCAGGGCGGUGGACCACGGCGAGGCCUAGGAAGGGAACGACACGGAGGCAGGGAAGACUCGACAGUUGUUUCCCACGCGGAGGGGAGUACGACUGUACGAGGGUUUACUGGUUCGUCUGCCGUCGCCGGAGAAUAACAGCAGGUGUGGGUGAGUAGAGGGAUGGCUAGGCCAGAGAUGGGAGUACGGUGGGGUGGUGAGGCCUGCGUGGUAGCACAGCCGGCCGCGGGGAGGAGGGAGCAGGCAGUCCCGCCGGCGCUUGUUUGAGCGGCUGGAGCAGGAAGAGCAGAGAUUGAAGAAGCACGACGGCCGUUGGAUGGACAUCCAACAGUCAGUGCUUGUGCGUCAACCUUUUUUUAAGGAAGCCUCAAAUAUGUGGAAAAAGCAUACAACCCAUCUGCCAUUAUUUCUAAUAAUUUACAGCCCAUUUGCUAAUUCUUAAGGGUUUUUUUGGAGCCCAUAUUCUUUUUGUUAGCAUUACAGCCCAUAUUGUGGCCACGGUUAAAAAAUUAUACGAAAUUUUGCAUAUUUCGGUGCGGUCGAACUGUUUUUAAUCCAGAAAUUUCGACUCACAUUCAAACUGAUUUUAAAAAUAAAUGUAUAUCAAUAUAAAAUCCAACAAAUUCUCCACGCAUAAAAAUUAAUGUAAUUUAAAAUCUUGAAAUGAAAAAAAAAGAUAUUUGAAACUAAUUGCCAGUUUGAUGUGUUUUAAAAAUGUACAGCCCAUUUCUCAUUACUGAUGGGCCAUUUUCUCGGCCAGCCGAAUGAAAGCUCUCCUCGUCUUGAAAGAUUUGCAGCCCAACAGGCCUGACAAAGUGACUUACUUGGCAAAUCACAAAAAAACUGGGCUGUGGCCGUGGACCCAGCUGUCAGCCUCUCCACAUACAGUACUCUUCCAAUGGAAGUCGUUCCUUGACCACGUUGAUCACGCCGCGCGGAGAGCACCACGGCGGUGGACGACGGCAAGGCCUAGGAAGGGGACUACGCGGAGCCGGGGAAGACGCGGCAGUGGAAGCCCGCGCGGAGAGGAGUACGAGGGUUCACUGGUUCGGCUGCGGUGUGAGGCUGCCAUCGCCAUAGGGCUUGGCCAGCGGUGGGAAUUGUAGGGGGCGGUGAGGCCUCUGCGGCAGCACAGCUGGCCACGUGAGGCAGGAGCAUGCGGCACGACCGGCGCUGCUUUGGGCGGCUGGAGCAAGAAGACCAGAGGUUGAAGAAGCACUACGGCCGUUGGAUGGACAUCGUACGGUCACUGGAGCUAGAAUCGUUCAUAUUGACUAAGUUGACAAAGCCCUUCGUCCCCGUCAACUUAGUAGGCCCACAAGUCAGCCUCCCACCAAGGUGGGUCCCAGCUAGCCGGGGGAGUAUUCAUUUUUGUGUGCGUAAUAAGGAGGCACUUCCGGUGGGUCCGAGCUGACAGCGGGGGGAACGUUUUUUUGCAAAAUACGGUGGCCCGUCCGGUGGGUCCCAACAGUCAGGGGGAAACGAUUUUUAUCACAAAAUACUGGUGGCCCGUCCAGUGGGUCCCCGCUGUCAGGUGGAGGAAUAAUUAUUUUCCGCGUAAUAAGGAGGCACUUCCUUGCGGCUGCCGCGGACCCAGCUGUCAGCCUCUCCACGUACAGUACUCUUCCGAUGGAAGUCGGUCGUUGACCACAUUGACCACGCCGCGCCGAGAGCACCACGGCGGUGGACGACGGCGAGGCCUAGGAAGGGGACGACGCGGAGCUGGGCAAGACGCGGCAGUGGAUGCCCACGCGGAGAGGAGUACGAGCGUUCACUGGUUCGGCUGUGGUGUGAGGCUGCCGUCGCCGCAGAAUAACAGGGGGUGUGGGUGAGUGGAGGGAUGGCCUGGCCAGUGGUGGGAGUAGUAUGGGGGCGGUGAGGCCUCCGCGGUAGCACAGCCGGCCACGGGAGGCAGGAGCAGGCGGCACGACCGGCGCUGCUUUGGGCAGCUGGAGCAAGAAGACCAGAGGUUGAAGAAGCACUAUGGCCGUUGGAUGGACAUCAUAUGGUCACUGGAGUAUUGACUAAGUUGACAAAGCCCUCCGUCCCCAUCAACUUAGUAGGCCCACAAGUCAGCCCAACAAUAUGGUGGGUCCCAGCUAGCAGGGGGUAUUCAUUUUUUUGGGCGUAAUAAGGAGGCACUUCCUUGCGUGCGAAGAUAUAGCUGGUGGGUCCGACCUGUCAGCGGGGGAACGUUUUUUUCGCGAAAUACAGAGGCCCUUCCUGUGGGUCCUAGCUGUCAGGUGGAGGAAUCAUUAUUUUGCGCAUAAUAAGGAGGCAUUUCCUUUCGUGCGGCCAUGGACCCAGCUGUCAGCCUCUCCACGUACAAUCCACUUUCGAUGGAUGUUGUUCAUUGACCACGUUGACCAGGCCGCGCCGAGAGCACCAGGGCGGUAGACGACGGCGAGGCCUAGGAAGGGAAUGACACAGAGCCAGGGAAUACUCGGCAGUUGUUUCCCACGCGGAGGAGUACGAGGGUUUACUGGUUCGUCUGCCGUCGCCGGAGAAUAACAACAUGUGUGGGUGAGUAGAGGGAUGGCUAGGCCAGCGAUGGGAGUACGGUGGGGCCGUGAGGCCUACGCGGCAGCAUAGCCGGCCGCGGGAGGAGGGAGCAGGCAGUCCCGCCAGCGCUUGUUUGAGCGGCUGGAGCAUGAAGAGCAGAGAUUGAAGAAGCACGACAGCCGUUGGAUGGACAUCCAACAGUCAAUGCUCUCGUGUGUUGACUAAGUUGACAGGGCGUUGCGUGUGCGUCAACCUUUUUUUUAUGAAAGCAUACACGUCAACCUGUAGUAGGCGCACAAGUCAGCCUCAAAUAUGUGGAAAACAGCAUACAACCCAUCUGCCAUUAUUUCUAAUAAUGUACAGCCCAUUUGCUAAUUCUUAAGAAUUUUUUGGAGCCCAUCUUCUUUUUGUUAGCAUUACACCCCAUAUUGUGGCCACAGUUAAAAAGUAUACGAAAUUUUGCAUAUUUUGGUGCGGUCAACUGUUUUUAAUCCAGAAAUAUCGAUUCACAUUCAAACUAUUUUGAAAAAUAAUUUAUAUAAAUAUAAAAUCCAAAUAAUUGUCCACGCAUAAAAAUCAAUGGAAUUUAAGAUCUUGUAAUGAAAAAAAAUUGAAACUAAUUCCCGGUUUGAUGUGUUUUAAUAAUGUAAAACCCAUUUCUGGGCAAACCGAAUGAAACUUUCCUCGUCUUGAAAGAUUUGCAGCCCAGCAGGGCCGAUAAAGCAAGUAGGCCUUGUUUGGGUAUUUCUUAAAAAAAAUAGAACUGGGCUAGCCAUUUUCAGCAAGAAAAAAACACAACUGGGCUCAUGAUGUGGUAAACAUAAAUAAAACCCUGGCUAGACGGGCCACAGCCCCCGCACAGCCCCGUUGUUACCCUGAUCCGUCGCUAAAACUAGUAUAAAUAACAACUGCUUGUUCCUCAAAAAAAAAACUGCGCGACUUGCUGGGUCCCUGGUGUCAGCCGCUCGUAGUGUAAUUCUCUCGUUUAUUGACUACGUUGACAAUGGCGUGAGCCCCAGAUGUCCAACCAUUAGGAGGAACCAUAUUUUUGGGCUUGUACUAUAGAGGCACUUGCUUGCGUACUGCCAUGACGCUGGUGGGUCCCUACUGUCAUCCUCUCCACGCACAGUCAUCUCCUUGUUCCUGUCGGUUGUUGACGACGUUGACAACGCAAGAGGGCGGCGCACCGCGAACGGCGAGCGAACCAAGGCCGCAAGGCGGAGGACGACGGCGAGGCCUCGGAAGGAACGAACAGGAGCCGUUGAAGAUGCGCCGGUCCAGCCGCAGGCGGAGGGGAGUAUGAGGGUUGACUGGUUCGGGCGCGGGUGUGUGUUGGGGCUGACGUCGCCGGAGAAUAACAGGACAUGUGGGGGAAUAGAGGGAGGGAUUGGCCAACGUUGGAGGGUACAUACGGUAGGGCGGCGGAGGCGGGAGCAGGCGGAGCCGACGGGGUGGUUUGGUUUGGGCGACUGGAGGAAGAAGAAGACAAGAGAUAGAAGAUACACGACAGAUGUUGGAUGUCAAUCCAAUGGCUGGUAGGCAGAAUCGUUUGUUGACUGGCUAGUAAGUCGACACCACCUUGGAUAGGCUAUUUCCUCGCGGGUCCCAAAUGUCAGAAUCCAAAUCUGUCACGGUCAUGCAGCCUUUCCUAUGAAAAUUUACAGCCCAUUUGAUGUGCUAGUUCGAAAUAAGUUUGUGGGUGCUGGUGGGGGCUAAUCACUUGGCUUCUGUAAUGCACAGUGAGCUCAAGCAGCCGACGAGAGUGAUGUCAUUUCCCUUGGUUGGGAUUUGUUACAAUAUUUCACUCUAAAUUAAACGAAUGGCAAGCCAUUUGCCUUGUUUCAAAGAAAAUAUGACAGUCACAGCCGAGUUGAAAAGGGCAGGAACAUCUAACUCCAGCUUACAAACUGUACAAAAGUACGAGGGUUAAUUGUUCAUCAGGUUUACAAAAAAACCAGAUUGAAAAGGGCAACAACAUCUAACUCCAGCACUGUUUUCGGCAGUCACAGUCAAAUGGAUCGGUCAGGUCCAUAGAAUGAACAUCCUGGGUCGUAAAAUUUACUGGAUUAUGACCACAAUAUGUUGUAAAUAGAAGCCCGACACGUUCAGAAGCUCUUUUGCCCACCUGAAACUCCUUUUUUUGCUCUUCGACAUACCCAUCCGUCAAAACCAUGCUGCUGAUAAACUUAAGCCUGAUGGACAAUAGUAACCUCGCAUUUAGCAGGAAGAAUGUGACAAAUCUUGUGUUUGCACGGUUGGCUACAUAUCGUUCUAGCGUUAUUGUCUUCAAUCGAAUCUCAUGAGAAGUGAGAAAAUCCCGAUGCUUACGAAUCCACCGAUUGGCUAUAACUUUCUUACCCCGUCCUGUUGCCUAAAUAGACAUGAAGAUUGAAAACAGUUAAGGUCUAAAAGAAGAGAGAUAGCUGACGACAGUCGAGAUUAAGGGGCACGGCGCACCAUAGAGGGCGCCACCGAAUUGAGAGGACCUGGGUGUGGCAGCAAUCCUUGGUGGGGAGAAGCGAGAUGAUUUCCCCAAGGACGGCGUCUGGGAGAUCGCUGAUGCGGUCCACCCUAGAUUCUACGGGUUCCUGGGAUCCGGUGGGGGCGGGGUCGCCGCUUCUCCCCGCGUUGCCGGGUGCGGGAUCUACAACAGGCGUCGCCGCUGGCGGGAGCCUCAUCUUCUUGGCGCUGGGGUCAGCCGACACCAUUUUUCUCGAGGGCGUCGCGUCGCGCUCACGGAUUUGAGCAGAGUAACGAAUGAAGAGCCUAGUUGUAGUGCGAGCGAAGAAGAAGGGGAGCUGGGGGUUUUCUGUAGGAGUGAGGAAGAAGGGGAGCUGGGGUUUUCUGUAGGAGUGAGGUGAGGAAUUUGGGGGUACGAGUGGAGCGAGCUGACGUGAGGUGGGUGGGAGCGAGGAGGAAGAAGAGCACCCAGUGUGGAUGGGAUUUUGAAUUGAUUUUACUAUUUACUAGUGUGGAUGAGCUGUUUUGUCUUGGGCCCAGAGAAACAAUUACUACUAGUACAGUGGAGACACUCUACAGCUACCCAGAAAAACAAUUACUACUAGUACAGUGGAGACACUCUACCGCUUCUGGCUCCUCCUAGGUCAUUGAAACGUCUCUCUCUACUGAAUGCCGUUAUACUUUUGUUCACUGACAUGCGGGCCAUGCAGCGCAUGGGCCCAAAUGCCAUCCACCAAAUUAGAAGGCAGUAUGUAGGCGGAGAGUCACCCCGGUCGUAGCGCGGCAGUAAUGAGCCGUCGUAUCACAAAACCCCACCUCCCCGCUGUCUAAGUUUGACGGACGAAGCAACCAUCAUUUCACUCUUCGCCGAAUCCCCUUCUCCCUCACCGUCUUCAAGAAAGGCAACACGCGCAUCUGCCACUGUUCUUCUCUCCGAACGAAGGGAAGGUAAGCGGAUCCGUGAUGUUGGUAUAUUUUCGUUCAGAGAAAAAAGGAACUUUUGCAAAGCAGUAACCGAUCCUCACUCUCUUUUUUGUUUCAUUGUCAUUGCGAUUGUGUUUUCCUUUCAGUGGUCUCCUAGUAUUCGUCAGUUCAUGAUGGACCAAGGAGAACCAGGCAAAGAUCUGCCGAUAUUGGAGCAGACGCGGGAGGCUGAUCCCCACGAGAUAGAGAGCUCCAAGAAGAUGGAGGCAACCACCGAGCUGACCCCAGAUACGCUCACGGCCACUACUGAGAUGGUCAACGCCCCGUUUGAGGUUACAGCCCCCGUGGCACUGCAGGAGCAGUUUUCCCCCUUUGAGGAUGUGCCCCCCCCCCCGCUGAGCUGCCCAAGGUGAUUUCCUUCUUUGCCGAUCUCGAUUGUGGUUUUUCAUCUAAGUAUGUGGUGAUUUCUUUUAGAAAAGGAAGUAUGUGGUGAUUAAUAAUGCAAAAUUUUAUUAGCUUCGAUGCCAUGCUAUACAUAGUGGUUUAAAUAACUUGUGUUUCUUAUACUGAAAAGUAAUUCAGAAUUUGUUUCUGUUUCAAUUAGAGCCCUGAUGCAGACAAGGAUUGUGUGGUUGUACAUGUCACUCGCUAUGAGGCGGACGACCUGAAUAUACGCACUGGAAAAACAGAGUUCUUAGGCUGUUGGAUCCUGGAAGCCAUUUGCGGUUAUACCAACGAAGAGUUGUAUUCCAGCCUCACUGUUGUCAGGCGUGUUGUCCAGGGUGUAUUGAAGCACAAGAAGUUCAAAGCUACUCCUUCGUUUGUGAGGCAUACUGUUCUUGUCAAGCUUACGCAGGAAGAUGACGUGGCAUGCCUCCACAAACAAGUUUAUCAGUGGCAAGGCCACAAGGUUGUCUUCAUGAAGCUUCACAGGAUUGAGCUGCUGCGGGACGUCCUCGAUGAUGUUCAUGGCAAGGUCCGUCUUGUGUCCAGCCCAAAUUAGAUCGAGGCAUGAAAUAGUUGCCCCAGCUAGUGUUUAAUAGUAGUUUGGAUUGUGUCUAAUUAUCCGAACCUUGCCUGUUAUCGACCCCUCUGGGGCUAGUACUCUGUAUGAAUCCGUCUAUGGGAACUGUUGCUACUUUUGUGUGCCCGUGAAUCAUGUGAGAACCAUCGUAAUUGUUGCCGAAACAGAUGCAUCCUCACUAGUUUUUUCAUGAAUAUGGCAUGGUAAGACAUAAGUUGUCACGGUUUAUCAUACGAGCAGUGUGUGUUUUGAUGAAAUAGAGCACUCGUUCGAGAACCGUGCGCCGACGUAUACAUAAGUACUUGUAAACACUGUUGGUGCUACCCCACUUGUAAGCAGUUGUGCAAAACACGGCACAUUGGCUCAGCUCGCUUCAACACUAGGCUAUCGACCAGCUAACAAUCAACAAUCUGCUGUCUGACAUAUAAUCAACUAUGUAUCUUGUUACAGUGGUUCAUGAAGUUAAUUGAGGCCACAAUGUAAUAAAUUCCAAACGUUCACACGCUAGUCCAGCGCUCAUGUGGAACACUCACAUUAAACUCGUCUUCAUAAAAAACUUGAAAAGCAUAAGUUAAGCAAUUUUAUACAUCUCAAUGAUUCAUAGAACAUAACAAACAUAUACUAGUUCACAGCAAAAGACAAAGUUGUGAGAAGGUUUACAAAUCAGGAAAAAACAAGCAAGGCUUCUCUGAGCAAAGGGCCUCCCGGCAGGCUUAAAUUUCCUGGAGUUCACUCUGGUUUUUUCUUGUUGCCACCAUUUAGGGUUAGGUUCUCUCAUUCCAGAAUAACAAAUUAUAAUUGUGGUCUCAGCUGGAAUGCUGAACUAAACCAUGCAGUGUACUGACCAGCUGAAAUGCUUGUGCAUUCCACUAAAUUUAAGCACCGCUAUUUGCAGAAAUAAGCAGACCACAAUGCCUCUUGUCCGCGCACCUGUCCAAAAAACUGCCGUGCAGCCAUGCCACCUAGUCCUCGGUCCAUAGAUGAAAUGGUAGAAAGUGCAUUCCGGACUAGGAUGCAGUUGUUUUCGCUCGUCCCUGCACUGCAAUCAGGAAGUAAAACGUACGAAUCAGCUUCUUUUAGAUUGCAUUGGUCAUUCUACCUUAGUUACUAGUACCAAUGUAGGGAUACCUUGAAGACGGGAGGUUAAACGACGGCAACGAGGGAUAGCCAUCUCAUUUUGCGCAGUUGUACUAAAACUAAGGUGUGUGCUUUUGAUUGCGCGGAUAGAAACGAUACAGAGACAGACAUCCCUGUUUGCGCAAAUACGAAAUACGGUUAUUUAAACAGUGACAGAUAUUACUACUUUCCCCCGUUUCCUCUUAGAACCAAGUCCUAGAUUCAUGCUACAACUUUCCCACUUUCUUCCCUGUUUGAACCAACACUUUGAGUCGACUGUAUGAACUAGCUUUACUUCUAAUAAUAGUAGAAGUCUAGGUGGCUUUGGAACAGCGGACGGAAGUAGAAAAGGAUCCACACGAAGGGAGCUGGGGCAGUAGAGCAAGGCAGGUUUCGAAGGAAUAUAUACUUGAGGGUCGUCGGCAUGUGACAAAGACAGCGUCGGGAGGCCGCAUCUUGGCCACAAUACCGUAGGGAGGAAGAAGGGGUCGGAGGCCCUCCCGAGCCGGCGCUCUCUCGGAGACAACGGCACGGCCGCCGAUCGGGACGCGCGGGCAGCCGUUGGUCUCCUCCCUCGCCGCCGACGACAGCGUGAACGAUGCACCAACACCCCUGCCCCGGUCGAGGUUGUCCGGCUGGAUUUGUGACCAGCCGUGAGCUGAGAGAGAGUGUGGCCGCCUAUGUGUUGCUUAGAUCUGGAGAGCAUGAGAGAGUGAACGAGAGGAACCCUAGUAAAGCAAGCGCUAAGGCUCCUGCUUUUAUAUAUAGUGGAGUGAUUUUGUUGUACCAGCAUCAAAAAAAUGCGCUCCUACGUGUACCCGUGAGUGGGUGUGAGAGAAAUAGUGCGUGCGUGCACCGUUUCUCUUCGUGAGAGUACAAUAUACUAUGCCCAAAGAACGUUCGCCACAAGAGUAAUAGUAUAAGUGUGUGACGUGUGAGCUAAAAUAAAAUGUGCGCGCCGUCUUUUGUUUUUUAGAAGUUCUGAGGGUAGGGUGUGAAGAGCACAUAUGUGCGUGACGUCUACCUGCAGAUAGACGAUGGGUGCGACGUGCGAGUCUGCGAGAGGACUCGGGAGAGUCGUGACUCGUGAGGGUGCGUGUGCGUGAGAGAGAGGGGGGCACGUAUUAAUGCAAUGCAUGUGUCCGUAAAUCAUUAUCCGACAAAUGUUCGCCACAAGCCUUUUCCUGACGAACGCCGUAAGAACCGAUAGAUCGGCAUCCGACAGUGUCAGUUUUGCCAUGUCAGUUAACAGAACAGCCACUCCUCCUACACACAAAUCUUCCACGUGAGUGCUAGCAACUGCCGUAUGCUCCCUCUGUUCCGAAAUGCAGUGCAUAUAGCUUUAUUGAAAAUUCGAGCCUCGCAAACUUUUACCGAGUUUUCGUGUACCAAAUUGCACAUGUAGAAUACCAUGUAUAUAUCAUUUCAUUCAUCUUCGAGAGGUAACUAUAAAGAUGGGUGAGGAGUCUACAAAGAAAGACCAUCGUAUCACCCGCAGCAAUUUCAAGCAUCCUUUAGUGUCGAGGAAUAUCAUAGGAACUCUAUAUGAUAUGAUUUUUAUAGGAUUUUUUCCUUUAGAGCCAAUUGGUUCAUAGGAAUAGAUUCAUAUACUCCACAUUUCAAAGGAAAUAAACAUGGUAUCAUUUCUAUAGCUUUAGAGCCACUUGGUUCAUAUGAAUGGAUUCCUAUACUCCCUUAAUUUCAAAGGAAAAUAAACAUUAGCGUAUAUUCAAUAGAAAAGUUCCUAUGAUAUGAACCAAAUUACAUCCCUUUUCUAAUCCCUCCUCAUAGGAAUUGAGAUACAUGUCAUCUCUAGAUUCAAUAGAAAAGUUCCUAUGAUGUGAACCAAAUGACAUCUCUUUUCCAAUCCCUACUCAUAGGAAUUGAGAUGCUCCAUGUCAUCAAUUUCCCUACAACUUCCAUGUAUACAUCUUCUAUUCCUAAAUAGAUAGUACAACCCACUAGUAGCUUUUUUCCAAAACAUGCAACUAUGGCACAAGAACUAUAUAGUGUGCCAAUAACUUUGAAAGAUGGUCGUUGGAUGAAGAUAACCGGACAGUGCAGAGAUAGGCAAAUCCGAGCACUACAGGCCGUUGGAUAUCAUCAACAUUCUACCAGAUCUGCCACAUGUACAAUUUAGAAGACUCCAUGGUUGAACUUAAGCAUAAUGCACAAACCUCAAAACACAAGCACCUCUCCUUUGUUCUAGAAUCUUCUGUAUCAUAAUUGAUUAUUUUUUUCUAAAUGAAUUGCCAUUAUUUGUUUUUUACUUUAUGAUUUACAAUGCACAACCCCAUGAAUCUUAACAUUUUUAUAAAACUAAUUGAUUUUGAAUGAGAUGAACUAUAAGAACUAAACGAACAUCUACAUCAUGCAUAUAUGACUCAAAGCUUUACAUGCUAUAGUGUGUAUUUAUUUGUAAUUUGGUUUUGAAAUCUCAUGCGUUCAAUACAUGUGUACCUUACUAGUUUUGAGUAGAGUAGCAAAUUUCACGCGGCCCCGGGUAUAUCAAAAUGCAGGGCCCAUGCAUCAUUGCCUUUCGGUCGAACCUACGUCCACAAUUUUUUGUACGUACUAUAUCUCCACUGGCCCCCGAACCCAAAAUGCUGCCUCGUUCCCGUAAAACCAAGCGGCCCACACAUAUUUAAGGCAUCGACUCGAACCCGUUUACUACGACGUGGCCCCGCACGCCGUAGUACUCCUACAAACCCUACCGCCGCACUCAUCAUCGGUUUUCUUCAAGAGGACGAGGGAGAAGCCGAUUUGUAGUGGAGGCGCUUUCAAAAAAAAGGAUCUGUAGUGGAGACCCCUACCCUAGGGUGCCCUAGGUAGCUGCCGCACGCAUCAUUGUUUUCUCUUUUCUUUAUGCUCUUGCGCCCUAGAGUGAAAUGAUGGUUGCUUCGUCCGUCCAGCUUAAUGCGGGAAAGGUGGGGCUUUGUGAUUUGACCCCUCAUCGCUCAUUUUCUACUACUGCGGCGCUACGACCGGGGUGCCUCCAAUUCCAACCGCUGCUCCGAACUGUAAUUUGGUGCAUCGCACGUGGAACAAGACGGUGGAUGAGCCACAUGUCGGCCAAAGGGGUCCUGUUAAGUGUGUCGCCAUUUCGUGUGCGGACUGACCCUGCUUGAGUUGCUACGCCAACACGACAGGAGCAACCUGCCACUUGGUUUUGCUCCUUGGUGAAUCCCGACUAUAUUGAUCUAAAAAGAUACGUGCUGAACUACCCUCUCCGUCUCGUUUUUUUUAUUUUUAGGCGUCUCGGUUUAUAGGGCCUGCACGUAGUUCUAGGUCAUCCAUUUGACUAACUAAAUAUGAGUUACUAUGUCACAAAAAUUAUAUCAUUGGAUUCUUAAGCGGAUGUAGUUGUGUUUAAAAGUCGAGGGCGGGGCUUUUCCUACCCGGUAGGCGGGGCAGUUCCGCCUAGUCGGUUCGACAGAGACGCGAGAAGACGAGGGAGUAGGCUGCUGCAAACGUAGGGAUUUGUGAUUUGAUAGUGAGUUACUGCUGGACAGGUGGGGCCCCGUGAUUUGACUUGCCAUUAUCAUUUCAACUGCGGCGCUACGACCGGCGUGAGUCUCCCGAUUCCUGACCGCUUCCAUACAGGUGCCUCUCCCAAUGCUCCACCAUGUAGUAGAGGUUGGGUCUUGCAUGAGAGCCCACUUCUCCAGUUUUUCCUUGCCUCUCUUUCCUCCACAUAUGCAAAAAUGCCAUGUAAAGCGCACUAUUGCACUUACUUUUACUUGCCCCUACAGGUGCUUAAGCUUGCCACAUAGGCAUAAAGUCUGAUGUGGCAAGUUAAUCAAGAAGAGAGAGACUAGUUUGGUGACCCAAGGAAGAAACGGUGCUAAGCGCGUGUACCUAGGUGAAAAGACAAUUUUGAGUCUAUAGCUAAUUAAAUGAAGCAAACUUAGCAACACCAUUUCAUUGGAAGAGGUCACUCCUUGGCAAAUGCAAUAAAUACUAGUACUCCCUGUGUCCCAUAAUAUAAGAACGUUUUUGGCACUACACUAGUGUCAAAAACGUUCUUAUAUUAUGGGACACAGGGAGUACGAAGAAAGAGAUAGAGAGGAGUAAAAAAAUACACUUAUAGCCAACCUUAUAGCCAACCUUGUUGUAGUAUGAGUGACUAAGUGAUGACUAUGUAUGACAUGCCAACAUCAGAUAGCCUAACACACUGUGUUAAAUCUCCAAGGGCGCGACCGCGCAAGCGACGCGACGGUCGUGGUAGGCGCGACCAUGAUACGGGCUGCUGGUAGCCCUUGGAUCUGAGAUCAAACGGUCGCAUGCUAAGUUGCUGAAAAUUUGCAGAAUAACCCUCCAGGAUAGGAUAUUCACCCAUAGGUCUAGAAUCACGCCAUGCAACCGUUCGAUCCCAGAUCCAAGGGCUCUCGGAAGCCCGUAUCAUGGGAGAAUGGAAAGCCACUACCCUGCCGUUCGCACGCUGGCAGUUCGCUCCUACUCGUCCCCGCACAUCCUUCAAUACUACGGCGGUUCGCUCCUAGUCAUCCCGUCCAUUCACAUUACGGCAGUUCCACUAAUCCUAACCCUCCUCCCAAAUCCAUGGCGUCCCAAAUCUCCACGAUCGGCGGUGAGUACAAGGUUAGAACCAUCACUGGCGAUGAGUUCGACGUUAUCUACGCCCGUUCUUCCGCGACGGUGAAAGGAUGCCUUUCUCGCUUCAGACGCAUGUUCAAAAACUCAGAUGAUGAGUGGGUCGCUGGGCUAGAUGUUGAGUACACCACAGUCCUGGGACGAGAGAAGGAUCUAAAGGACGAAGAGAGGAAGAAGCCCGCCGUGAUCCAGGUUUGUGUACAUAACGUUUGCUUGGUCUACCACAUAUGCCAUGCCGACGUUGAGUGCCAGGAUUUUAAGAACUUCCUCAAGGACAAAACAGUGAAAUUCGUUACUAUAGAAUUUAAGAACGACAAAGAAGUCCUGGGUCGGAUAGGCCUCGUUGUAGGCAACCCCUUCGACCUCCAGAAGAACCGGCUGGUGCCCUCUCGUCAGCCUUCAAUGCUGACCCUGACAGGAGCCAUGGUUCAUCCUUCGUACCGUAAACUGGAGAAACCUCAUUACACGUUUCAUCGUCAUGCAUGGCAGCGGAAUGUACUAGAUAUAGACCACAUCCACUACGCUGCAAUGGAUGGCUACCUUUGUUUCAAUAUCUACAAGGGUUGGAUGAAGAGCAACAGCCAAGUGUGCGGUUCAAGCAAAGAAGUAUCGGCCAAGAGGAAGAGGGACAAGGACGAAGUCGAGGACGUGGACGAGGACUCCAAGUAAGGUGGCAGUGUCGUUGCUCAUGGAGGUUCUAAACUUCUAAUGCAGUGUCUACCGGAUUAGUUGCAUAGUUUAAUUUCAGGUGUGCUUAGUUUAAUUUGAGGGGUGUGUUGUGCUGAGCCCCCAGCAGAACUAUGUUAUGUUUCUUCUCGUUACUUUAACUCUUCAGUAUGUACAUACUACUAGUAUUUCUUUAAUAGAAUUUAGCACCCCAAUUAAGCACGUACUAGCUUUUUUAAUAGUACUAUAUGCAUAAUUUGGCGACGAGCGCUCUCUAUAUGUACCACCUUUUUUUUUCAAUUUUUGCUCCAUGGCGCAAUCCAUCGAUAGUACUACUGUACAAAAGUAUACAUUUUUUAAAAGGCUAGAGUACUGUUCAUCACAUAUAUAGCCAGUUAAAUUCUCAACCUAGAAUGAUGUGCAUGCCAUGUAGUAAACCGAUACAGAGGAAGUAUAGUAAAAAUGAGGUGAUUUUACCGAGCGAUCGGCGGGGGAGCAUGGCCUGUCAUGCGGUCCCACGUGUCAUGAUGUACCAAGGCGAUGCGCGUGUCCCUCUUGAGGCAGAAGCAAUACUAUGUGGUUUGAGAUGAUGGCGAACCGAAGUGUGAAAUAAUGGUUGCUUCACCCGUCUGGGAAGGUGCGGCAUUGUGAUUUGACGUCUCAUUGCUCAUUACUACUACUGGGCCGGUAUGAGUGGGGUGCGUCCCCCCUGCUGUUCUGCACUGUUAUUUGGUGCUUGACACGUCGACCCGGUUGCUAUAUGUCCCACAUGUCGGUGACAGGAAGUACAGAAUUCAUGAAAGAGAGCGUCGACGGAGGAGUAUACUACAGAAUUCAUGAAAGGGAGCGACUUAGUUUUGGAAAAAUCUGUUUUUACCGAGUACGUACCCACUAGGGUUUAUAGGGCUCAUCUAAAAAACAUUCGUUUUUCCGUUUGAUAAGUCUCAAUUCUACUAUACUAGUAGUAGUACCAUUACAUGUUGGAUUUCGAGGUGCGUUAGAUCACCCGGCGCAAGCAGUGUCAAGAGGAAACUAACCAAUGCAUGUACAAGUUCAUGGAAAUUUAGUGUUCAUUCAUGCAUUCGUUCUAAUUAAUGCCUCGGUAAACAUAACUUCUUGAGAAAAACGAGCGUACUAAUUACUUGUGCAAACUACGAAAUUAAUUCGACCACUCACCGUCUACCUUGGUUGGAGAGAUUUUGAAAUUGAGCCAUGAACUGGAAAGGAGGGAGUAGUAACUUUUGUCUCGAUUACUAUUUGUGUCCUUGUAUAGAUGCAAAAUGUAUUUUUUUAUAGUGGCCUUGUAUAAGUAAAUGGAGGGAGUACUAACCGAAGUACGUAGUAGGGACGAGGAGUAAACGGAGGGAGUAGUAAAAUUUUCUCCUCGUGCUAUGAGCCACCGCACGCGUGGGCGAGGGAGCGGGCGUAAAGGCAUACAGUAGUAGUAGUAGUACUCGUAAGCAAGCUUCACCUCAUCCAGCGAGCCACCGCGCCCGUGGGCGGGGGAGACGGCGUACUAAGCAAGCUUCUCCUCGUUCUGCGAGUUGACGGGACACAUCAAAAGUACUCCAGUGUAUAGAGCCUUGCCUCUAAGGUAGGCCCCACAUGGUUUGCCUCUUUUUUUAAUUUAACAUAACGCAUCAAGUCGCAAUUUGUUUGUUCACCCGUGGUAGACGAUCCUCCCUCCACCAAGUGGACAACCAGUACACGUGCCAAAUUACCACGUGGGCUGCCUUUUUCGUACAGAAAUGAGCUCCACCGUGUACCCGCGCGGGUGUGGUUGAGAAAGAGACGGGAGUAGGUGCGCCGUGCGUGCACCUCUUCUCUUCGUGCACGUCCCCCACCUACGUGGGUGUGUGUGAGAGAGAUACAAACCUAGACAUAAUGCGCCGUCCAUCCCCAUGCCUCCGCCCAGUCCGACCACCAGUCACCACCACGCCCCACUCCUCCUCACCUUAUCUCUCAUCUUUCUCCCUCCAUUUUUAUAUACAAGGGGCCACUAUCAAAAUUACAAUUUGCAGAUAUACAAGGCCAGUAACACUAAUCAAUGCAAUAUUAAUGGUGUUUGCCUCGUGGUACUAGCAAAGGAGGACAUUAAUUAUCCCUUGCAUGCAUGCGGGAGUUUGUAAAAAAAUGCAUCUUGAUGUUCCGUGCAAUGCACGGGCAUCUUGCUAGUCCAUGAAAACAACACAUGGCAAAAUUCCACGGCGAACGAGGGAUUUGAAUCUGUUGGGAGGGGCUGUUUGGAUCUUGCCCGGGGUAGCCAAAAUAUUGGCGACCCUUUUGUCCACCGGUGCCUUUGCCACCGAUGAACGAGGAAUGGCUCGGGUGCUCAUGCUGUCAUGCAUCCUCCGGCGCGCACGUUGGAGACGAGCUCGCACGAGCUGUGUUUUUUUGUCCCACAACGCCGCCCGAGCCGCCCGCAGACCGACCGGCGACCCGCAAAUUAUGCCAUCCAACCGUAGCCACACACAUUAUGACAGCAACUCAACCAACCGGACGAAAUUCACGCAAACACGUAGACAAACUGAUAUUUCAUAUAAACAACAACGGAAAUCAUAUAAAAUACUGGAUUUUCAUACAAACAUGACGGAUUUCAUUACAUUCAAAUGAACUAGGCGGUGCUAGUUCUGGACAGCACAGGUAUAUAAUACCUGGCCUAAAUGGUCGCCCGCCGAUCGAUUUGUGUUCCUCAUGUCCGGCAGCACGAUCACUGGACUGCCGGGAGCCCCGGAGGUAUAUGCUUCAGCGCAAAGGACGGCUCGCUUCCCCACUGCCCAACUGAUAUCAUUGGCUGGUGCCGAAGAUGAUGGUGGCCAGCACCGGUUCGAGUUCAUCACCGGCCACUACUUCGCCAUGGCCGGCACCGGCUCGAGUUCAUCCUAACAUUCCCCUCUUCCAUGGAGUCCAUGCGGGGUCGAUGAAGGUCCUCGCAACAAAAGGAUCCGGCAAGACACCUGCUGUGUACGCCGGCGUCGCCUCCGCGGUGGCCUUCAUGGGACCCAAGCGGUGGCGGCCUCCCGUGUUCUACUUCUCCUCGAUGAUGGCGGUGGACGCGGAUGCGCUGGCCACCGACUCGUCGCUCUCCGCGCACCCAGCUUCUGUCGCUGCUUGCAUGGCGCGGCCACCGGCAUGGGAGUCUCGGCCACAGAAACGGGAGACACGGUAUGAGGCGGCGGCGUGGAUGGCAGCAACAACGCCCGUGCGCCGCUCCUCGUCGAGCUGGCCUGGAGCGGCGAGUUGCUGAACCGCGCGCCGGCUUGGGGCGGCAACUGGCUCCGUCGGGCGAGGGGAGGGAGGUGGAUCAGGGAGCUGCAUAGCUCGUAUCCGGCAGGCUACCCAGCCGGCUUGGAUGCGGAAUAACUACUCUUCGUAAGCCAUUGUAAGAGUGGACAAAUUGGUGGAGGAGAUAGGGGAGCGGCGGAGGUGUGCGAUUCUUGGCCGGCGUUUGGCCUCGUUUAAAUAGGAGAUUAAAUAGACGGCGGACGGGAGGAGCUCGGCCGGCGUUGCGUUUAACGCCGGCCCGGUCAUGAACGGACGUGUGUCCAGAGUGGGUUUCUCGGCUUCCACACGGGCGGGUUUCAUGGAGGCGUUUGAAUGCGGCACGGAGGCGUGUUCAGCCGGGCGUGCCGCGAGUGGCGCCCUCGACUCUGACCUAGGACACCGUACCGUUCUUCCACUGACGUGUGGGCUCUUUGGGUGCAUGGCCUGCAUGUCAGUGACCCAACGCAGGCAGCGCACAGCAGAGGAAUCUUUGGUCGGCCAGGGCGGUCAGAAGCGGGCAUUUCAUAAACCGAUGAUUGUUCAUUGAGUGUGACGUCAUCUUUUUCAUGUAGAUAAGCCUACUAUGUUGAUAGCCCGUUCGAUACGUUGUGAUUCAUAAAGACCGCUGCAAACAUCAAUGUUCUGCUUAUCACAGAUAAGAUUGAUUAAUACCCAUAACAAUCCAUGUCCUUAACAAAGGGUGCAUGCACGUAUAGGUUGAGCGUGUGUCUUGUGUCGUGUGUUGUGUGCAUGCAGGCGUGCGAGUGUUGCGUGCGUGCAAGGGUACAUUUCAGUGUUGCAUGCAUGGGUGCGUACGUGCAUGUGUUCGUGAGUGCAUGUGUACGUGUCAGUGUUGCACGCCAGCAUGCGUGUGUGUGUACGUGUUAGUGUUGCACGCCUACAUGCGUGCGUGUCUUGCGUGCGUGCAUGUGUACAUGCGGGGUGAGGCUACACGUCAGUCGACUGACUUUUUCAUCUCUGGUGAUUAGAUUUUCCAGCCGUUGGAUACGAAAUCAAGGGCCUCCAGUUUAUCAUCAAACUCCACCCCUCCUGAGCCGUCAGCCACCACCGGCCGAACCGCCAGCCCCCGCCGCCCGUGGCCGNNNNNNNNNNNNNNNNNNNNNNNNNNNNNNNNNNNNNNNNNNNNNNNNNNNNNNNNNNNNNNNNNNNNNNNNNNNNNNNNNNNNNNNNNNNNNNNNNNNNNNNNNNNNNNNNNNNNNNNNNNNNNNNNNNNNNNNNNNNNNNNNNNNNNNNNNNNNNNNNNNNNNNNNNNNNNNNNNNNNNNNNNNNNNNNNNNNNNNNNNNNNNNNNNNNNNNNNNNNNNNNNNNNNNNNNNNNNNNNNNNNNNNNNNNNNNNNNNNNNNNNNNNNNNNNNNNNNNNNNNNNNNNNNNNNNNNNNNNNNNNNNNNNNNGGGGAUCCCCACCCCACCGCCCAAUGAACGCCCCCCAACCGCCGGUGACUGCCAACCAGAGGUCUCACGACUUCGAAUACCCACCGACCACUAAUUUAUUACCAUUUCUGUCCUUCAUAUACGCGCUGACGGGUGGGCCCUAUGGUAAUGUGCCUGCUGAAUGUGGACCGUUUGACAAGUCAAUUGAUCGUGUUAUCAACAAAUUAUGGAGGUGUCUGGUGAGCUAGUGACCGUAUGAUCACCCUAAAAUGUACUCCUAUUUUAUUAACACAGUACAGACUCAAACUACCAUUUCUUUCUUUCAUAUACGGGCUGACAGGUGGGCCCCAUGGUUACGCGCCCUGAUGGUGCAACACUAGUUGUGCCGCGUGGAACGUUUGACUGGUCAAUUGAUUGUGACCGUAUAAUCAUGAUAUGGAGUAUUUGUUUAACAGGGUACAGACGUAAGGGCUCAUAUAUACGCGCAAGCACUCACCGCUAUAAGCGCACACACGCGAACCCUACCCCUAUGAGCACCUUCGAGAGAGUGGGCCAGCAUAUAUGAUCUUGAGAUUUUACGAAGUCACCAUAGGUGCCUCGUAGUCGAGUGGAACGUCUCCUCCCACUGAACGUAGAUCGCCGGAAAAUACUGAAAUUAACACAAGAUAAAUGCGAGCACCGGGACUUUAACCUUGGUGGGCUCGAGAAACCACUGUCCUCUAACCAUCCAACCACAUGUUGGUUAGCACGACAAAAUUGGUGACCAUAUCGUGCUUUCGCUUCAAAUACAAUGACCGUAAGUGUCGUCAACAAAAUACGGAGCACGCAUCAAAUGCAAAGUCCGUCAGUGUCAUCAACAAAUAUGGAGACGUAUCGUGAGCUAGAUACCGUUGUACUAUUGUAUAUGCUUAUUUUCUUAGUGGCUGAUUGCGUGUGUGGUGUGGUGGGCACAUCAUUUCUAGUAGAGUCGCGGAGGACUCUAUCCCCACUGGUGAUAAGCCGACUAUAUAUGAUUUGUAACCCUAGGCCCUUAGUAUGUUAUACAAGCUUGGGGGCUAGUUCGUCGAUAGUAUACACACACGCACAAUGCCUGGUAUUCACGUGUACUUUGUACACACCCCUAUCACUAAUAUACAGUACCAGGAGUAUGCUCUUUCUUCAACUGCAAGGGUCCGGUCCGAACUAGGGUAAAACUUUGCCUCGUAUUACCAUCCAGCCUAACAGCCAGGGGUAUCCUACCGAAUGAUAUGAUGAAAUCAUAUCUGCCAACUACUAAGAGAGAGGUGUGUCAGGGGGCAAUGUGUGCGAGAGAGGCCUAAAGAUAAUGUGCGUGCGGGAGACACGUAGGCACAUAUAUGUGCGUAUAGAGGGCUAGUAGAGACCGUGCAUGUGUAUAUAUGCAUGUGAGAGAAAUAGUGUUUUACAACUGAGAUUAGUGAAAAGAGUGGUACAUAGUAGUCAAAAAGAGAGAGAGAAACAGAGAGAGCAUGUGCGUGAGACACCCCGACACCCUGAGAGAGAUUGUGAGCAUGUGUGAAAGAGAAAUGCCGAUGCAUAUAAAGUGUGUGCACUUAUGCGUUAGAUAGAGAGAUAUAUAACGCGUUUGUGAGAACGGGGCGAGGCAUACUGCAUCUAUGUGUAAAAGGCGGUUCUACGCAUUAAAUUAAAAUAUAAAUGGCAUUAUUAUUUUUGGAUGAGAUCAUGAAUUUUGCAAAUUGCGUAUGGACGAAAAUCGGUCUAUCCGACACCCAUACUCUACUGAAUUCUAGCAUGUGCAUGUGUUUAUUUCAUAUUAUCGAUCCAUAGAGUGAGAGCGGUUUGAAAUAUAGGCAAUGGAUGCUUUUGCAAUUCAUAUAUAAACAUUAAUUAGUGCACUCCAUGUGUUAGUGUGAAGCACUUUAUACAUUUGUCACUUGCAUGGAUACAUUCCAAAUUGCUAGCUACGAAAUAGAAUACAUGUCGAAUUCAACAUAAAGGGGGGUUUUGAAGAUUCAAAUUCAUAGGAAGUGCAUUCAUCUAUUUGAACCCGAGAUAAUGGCAUUUGUAAAUCAGAUGUAAAAGGGGGCAUCAAUCUUUGUUGUGAGUUUGAACAUGCUAUAUAUAUUCAUACGCAUAUCUAACUUUUUUUUGCAACCAAGGAGAUUAUAUCUGGAACCAUGCAUGAAUUGAGGUAAGUUGUAUAUUUUUUAAUAUAUACUCGUGUACAAUGUAUAUUCAAAUGUACCCCCUCAAUUCCAAAAUAAUCGUACCUUUAGGAUUUUCAAGAGUAAAGAUUUGUGAAGUUUGACAAAUCCUGAAAGUUCAAUUCAAGAGAACCGAAAAGGUUAAUGCUUCUGCUCCCAAAUAUUGAACGAAGCGCCAAAUAGGCCUCUGGUCACCCGAAACCGCGCGAGACUAAUGUUUUGGUGGUAGGAAAUUACUGUCCUGACUCUGGCCCGUGUAGCCUAUCGGCCCGAUGUCCAAAGGUCUAAACCGGGGUAGGUUUGUAACUUCACCAAGACGCCAGUCUCAACCGCCUCGAGAAGCAUUCGUACGCCGUGGGCGCCUACCCAUGCGCUCGGCCGAAAUCUAUCCCGCCCACAUUUGGGACACCUGACAUGACUGUCCUACCCCCAACCCGCAAUAUGUCCGAAAUUUUAGAUGGGGGCAAAGUUUGUAACUUUCCCCAAAUUUCAAACAAGCGCAUCUCAAACCGAAACAUUGUUCCCCCUUAGUUCCCCGCCUCCCUCCGUUUCCCCAUUCAUACUCCGUGGGCGCGAAAAAGCCCUCUCCACCAGCCGCGAAACCCCAGCCUCCUCCGUCCUCCACCCCAUAGCGGCCAAUCCAUCGCCGCCCUCCUCCAUCACGCCGGAGCCGGUACCCCGACGUCGUCGUCCAACGCAACCGCAACCGCAACGCCCUCAAGGACUUAGCAGCUGAAGCCGAGGCAGAGCUGCCUCCACGACGCCGACGCCGACGUGCGCCGUACCAGAACAACUCCGACCAUGCCGUCCUGCGCCUCACUGCCACGGCUCCACUGUCCCAACCGUCCACCGCACCGGAGCUGUUCCCGCUACGCCGUCGUUCGCCGCCUCGGAUCUGCUUCCCCGCCGCCGACAGACGGCCACCGCACCACACUCAACAACUUGGCCAUGGGUUCGUCCAAGGCUGCACCGUCCUCCACAACUUCUGGUUUCCGGCGAACAACAAAAAGAUCGUCGGAAAAACAGAAGGAGGACACAGCACUGCCAGCAGAAAGAGGUACUCCUCUUCCCUUAUUCGUGCAAAUCUUACGUCUCCGCUCACACCGUAUUCAUCCCACGAAAGAAACUAGUUGAGCACUUCUUACUGCAUCUUCUUCGUGAUACUAAAUGCACAAGGUUUCCUCCCUUUUACUAUUUCACCUUUGCUAGAGGUCAGUAGCCCGCCUGGAUUUCAAUUCAGGGUCAGUCGAACCGCAAUUAAAAGAAGCAGCACCCGCUUAGGCGCGCGGAGCACCUAGUCCGCCUGUUCCCCGGGGAAGCGGCGCAUCGGUGUCUAUCAUAGGGGUGUGGGGCGCAGGAGCUGCUUGCGCCUGAUCUGGAGGUUGGAGGGGCUUGAAUGGAUGGCCGGGGGGGGCGGUGCCAACCACGGCGGUGCGGUGAGGUCGAGGGGAGGGCGCAGGCAGGGGAGGAAUACUGGGCCGGUGGUCGCUGGCGUUUCAAGGAAGAUCGUCAACACUGACUGGCUGGAGGUAGAUGAAGGCGAUCUGCCCGUUCUUUGUACAUCGGACGGUGCAGAAAAAAUGGACUGACCUAUUUGCUUUCAGUCGACUGUUGUUUUCAUAGAAUCCUGUAGUAAUUUAGUGUGCCAUGCAUGUUGUAGAGCUAUCAUAUGUCUCCCGUCAUUUAUUUCUCACCGACCUGCUAUCUGCUACCUUUACACUGUACUAAUUGUGCACACACUUCACCCAUACUCACACUAUUGUUUUUUUAUGCAUGGGUAUUUCAGACUCUGACGCAGUGUUGAUGAAUGCAGAAAAUAAAAGACAGAAGUCGCUCCAGUGUAAUUCGAAGAUAAGCACUAAGCGUUUCAGCACUCUAAUAGGUGCAGUGUCAGCAGUUGGAGACAGUAAACGUAGCUCUGCAGUUGAUGAUCUCAAUUGCCACACACAACCAUCCCAGGUGCUUGCUUUAACUUCGCGCUGUCAAAUGUGGUUGCAUGUUGCAUAUGGUGUCUAGCUUGUAUUGCUUCCAAUUUGGUUAAAUUGCAUCUCCUUACUUUACACAUUAUAACUUUCAUAAUGACAUGCCUUCCUGUUUUUGAUACAUACUACAUAUGUCUAUUAACCAUGUUCGUACAUCAAACUAAUGCUCUUUUGUAUCCCUCGUCAAUCACUUAUGAUGAGACAGUCACCCGAGUGGGUUACUGUGAGACGCCCUACUCGUUUAAAGAGUGCAGUGUCAUCCUCCCCACAUGAUUCUCAACAAACAGCAAGGCUAAAUGAAGAUAGUCAACGUAGCUCUCUAGUUGAUCACCGCAAUUCCCCCACACAACCAUCGUAGGUGCUUGCUCUUACUUGGCAGUGUGAUAUGUGGUUGCAUGUUGCAUAUGGUGUCUACCUUGUAAUGCUUCUAAUUAGGGUAAAUUGCAUCUGCUUAGUUAACACAUUAUACCUGUGAAUAUGACAUGCCUUCCUGUUUUUGGUACAUACUACGUCUUUCUAUUAACCAUGUUCUUACAUCAAACUACUUUUCUUGUGUAUCCCUUAUCAAUGCUCCUAAUUUGUUAAAUUGCAUCUCCUUAGCUUACACAUUAUACAUGUGAAUAUGACACGCCUUCCUGUUUUUGGUACAUACUACAUCUGCCUAUCACACCAUGUUCUUACAUCAAACUACUGUUCUUGUGUAUCCUGCGUCUAUCGCUUAUGAUGAGACAGUCACGUGCGUGGGUUAAUAUGAGACGCAAUACUCUUAUAAAGAAUGCAAUUUCAUCCUCUCCACAUGAUUCUCAAGAAACAGCAAACCUAAAUGAAGAUAUUGAACGUAGCUCUAUACCUGAAGACCGCACUUCCCCUACACCACCAUCACAGGUGCUUGCUCUAACUUCGCAGUGUGAUAUGUGGUUGCAUGUUGCAUACGGUGUCUAGCUUGUAAUGCUUCUAAUUAGGGUAAAUUGCAUCUGCUUAGUUUACACACUAUACCUGUGAAUAUGACAUGCCUUCCUAUUUUUGGUACACACUACAUCUAUGUGUUAACCUUGUUCUUACAUUAAACUACCUCUCUUCUGUAUCCUGCAUCAAUCACUUACGAUGAGUCACCUUUAUUCGUUGCAUAUUGCAUAUUAUUUCUAGCCUGUUGCCAUGUAUUGCUUCUAAUUUGGUCAAAUACAUUUGUUAGGGCACCCUUUUAAUUUGGCAGAGUGAUAUUGGUUUCAUCUUUCAUAUGGUUUCUAGCUUGCAUCGAUUCUAACAAGUUCAAGCACCUUGUGCUUAGUUUACACUUUAUACAUCAUACAUGUCAAUAUGUCAUGCCGUCCUGUUUUUCAUACAUAUUCCAUCCUCCUAUCAUGCGGCUGCCUUACAUGAAAGUAGUGUUCGUCAGUAUCAUGCAUCAAUGGGUUCUGAAGAGCAAAUUUUAUUCCUUUUUCUUGUGGGUUUGACUUGACAAGGCAAAAUCAAGAAAGAGGAAGGAAAAGAGUAAGGAAGGCGAUGAUGGUGGUCCUCUGCAGCAACGUAAACGGAGCAUCUAUACCGAUUCUCCUUGUACUGAUAGUGCAUUACAAGGUCCAAGUCUCCGCUCCCCUACUCCACCAUCCAAGGUGCUUGCUCUAACUUGGCGGUGUGAUAUCUAGUUGCAUGUUGAAUAUGGUGUCUAGCUCGUAUUGCUCCUAAUUAGUGUAAACUGCAUCUGCUUAGCUUACACAUGAUACAAGUGAAUAUGACACGCUUUCCUGUUUUUGGUACAUACUAUAUCUGUCUAUCACACCAUGUUCUUACAUGAAACUACUCUUCUUGUGUAUCCUGCAUCAGUCACUUAUGAUGGGACACCUUUAAGUUGGCAGUGUGAUAUUGGUUUGCAUCUUGAAUAUGAUUUCUAGCAUGUAUUGCUUCUAGUUUGAUGAACGCCACCUAUGACGAGACAAUUUUAAAUUGGCAGAGUGAUAUUGAUUGCACCUUCCAUAUGGUGUCUUGCAGUGUUUCUAAUUUGUUGAAGUGCCUUCUGCUUAGUUACCACAUCAUAGGUGUGAAUAUGUCAAGCCUUCCAUUUUUUCGUACAUAUUCCAUCCUUGUAUCAUGACUUUGCCUUUCAUCAGAGUAGUGUUCGUCAGUAUCAUGCAUGAAUGAGUUCUGAAGAGCGAAUGAUAUUCCUUUUUCUUGUUGGUAUGACCUCACAAUGCAAAAUCAAUAAAGCUGAAGGAAAUUGGCAAGGCAUUGGAUGAUGGUGGUCCUUCCGAGCAACUGAAACGGAGGUUCUCUACAGAUUCUACUCCGCCAUCCUCCCAACAAGAUUCGCAAGACAACGCAAGGCUAAACAGUCAACAUAGCUGUGUAGAUGAUGAGCACAUCUCCCCUACUCCACCAUCACAGGUGCUUGCUCUAACUUGGCACUAUUAUAUGUGGUUGCAUGUUGCGUAUGAUGUCUAGCUUGUAUUGCUUCUAACUUUGUUGAAUUGCAUCUGCUUACUUUACACAUAAUGGCUUUGAAUAUGACAUGUGUUCCUGUUUCUACAUCAGACUACUAUUCUUGCAUAUCCCGCAUCAAUCACUUAUGAUAAGGCACCUUUAAGUCGCCACUGUGAUAUUGGUUGUGUCUUGCAUAUGAUUUCUAGCAUGUACUGCUUCUAAUUUGUUGAAACGCCAUACAGUUUGAACUUGGCAGAGUGAUAUUGGUUGCAUCUUUCAUAUGGUGUCUAGCUUGCAGUGCUUCUAAUUUGUUGAAAUGCCUUCUGCUUAGUUACCACAUCGUAGGUGUGAAUAUGUCACACCAUCCUGUUUUUCAUACAUAUUCCAUCCUCGCAUCAUGUGUUUGCCUUUCAUCCGAGUAGUGUUCGUCAGUAUCAUGCAUGAAUGGGUUCUGAAGAGCAAAUUUUAUUCCUUUUUCUUAUCAGUUUGACUUCACAAUGCAAAAUCAUUACAGCUGAAGGAAAUUAGUCCGGCAGUGGAUGAUGGUGGUCCUUCGGAGCAACUCAAACAGGGGGUCUCUACAGAUUCUACUCCGCCAUCCUCCCAACAAGAUUCGCAAGACAACACAAGGCUGGACAGUCAACGUAGCUGUGUAGAUGAUGAGCACAUCUCCCCUACUCCACCAUCACAGGUGCUUGCUCUAACUUGACACUAUUAUAUGUGGUUGCAUGUUGCGUAUGAAGUCUAGCUUGUAUUGCUUCUAACUUGAAUUGCAUCUGCUUACUUUACACAUAAUGCCUGUGAAUAUGACACGUGUUCCUGUUUCUAGAACAUACGUGUACAUGAUGAGCACAUCUCCCCUACUCCACCAUCACAGGUGCUUGCUCUUACUUGGAACUGUUAUACGUGGUUGUGUUUUUUGUAUGAUGUCUAGUUUGUAUUGCUUCUGAUUAUGUUGAAUUGCAUCUGCGUAGCUUACAACUUAUACCUGCAACGAUCACUUACCCAUAAGACACAUUUAACUUGGGACUGUGAUGUAGGUUGCAUCUUGCAUUGUCUUCUAGCUUGUACUGCUUCUAAUUUCUUGAAAUGGCACUUACGACGAGACACUUUUUACCUGAUAGAGUGAUAUUGGUUGCAUGUUCAUAUGGUGCCUAGCUUUCAUUUCUUCUAAUUUUGUUGAAAUGCCUUCCGCUUACUGUUUUUUCAUACAUAUUCCAUCCUCCUAUCGUACGUGUGAAUAUGAAACGCUGUCUUUUUUUGUAUAUAUUCCAUCCUCCUAUCCUGCGCUUGCCUUACAUCAAAGUAGUGUUCGUCUGUAUCAUGCAUCAACCAGUUAUGCAGAGCUAAUUUUAUUCAUCUUCUUGUGGUUUUGACUUCAUAAGGCAAUAUCAGAAAAUAGGAAGGAAAAGAGUAAGUUAGGGGAUGUUGGUGGUCCUCCGGACCGACGCAAACAGAGACUCUCUAGAUUUGCCACUGCUACUGCUAAUGAAGUUGAAGUCCCAAGUCUACAUGAUGAGUUCAUCUCCCAUACUCCACCAUUGCAGGUGCUUGCUCUAAGUUGACAGUGUGAUAAUUGGUUUCAUGUUGCAUAUGUUGUCUAGCCUGUAUUUCUUCUAUUUUGAUUAAGUUGCACGUGCUGAGUUCAUACGUUAUACAUGUGCAUAUGACAUGGCUUUCUGUGUCUAGAAUACACUGCAUCUAUCUAUCAUACCAUGUUCUUAGAUCAAAGUACGGCUGUUGUGUAUCCCGCAUCAGUCACUCAUGAUUGGACGCUUUUAACAUGGCAGUUUGAUAGUGGUUGCAUCUUGCAUUGAUUUCUAUGUUGUACUGCUUCUAAUUUUUCGAAUUGCCACUUAUGACAAGACACUUUUAACUUGGCAGAGUAAUAUUGGUUGCAUCUUUCAUAUGGUGUCUAGCUUGCAUUACUUCUAUUUUCUUGAAAAUCCUUCUGCUUAGUUUGCACAUCGUAGCUGUGAAUAUGUCAUGCCGUCCUGUUUUUCUUACAUAUUCCAUCCUCAUACGGUUGUCUUACAUCAAAGUAUUGCUUGUCUGUAUCAUGCAUCAAUGAGUUAUGAAGAGUGAUUUUAUUCUUUUGUGUUGUGGGUACAACUUGACAUGGCAAAGUCAAAAAAGAGCAAGGAAAAUAAUAUAGUAGGGAGUGCUGUUACUUGUCGGGUGAAACGGAAAAGGUUCUGCCGUCGAGAUUCUGCUGGUACUUAUAGUGCAGUAGAAGGUCCAAGUCCACCGGCUAAAUCUACAAACACAGUAUCACCUGCUCCACCAGCUGCAGCAUCUGCUUCAACUGUACCAGCAUAUCAACCAGUUACUCGUUCGUUUGCUCCGGAACUGGCCAGUUCCCAAGCUGCCUUCACACCUAACACUACUUCCGAAGCACUGCUGACACAACAAGACUUGGCAAGAUCAGAUGAACCUCAUGAGCAUCAACACCAAGACGGUACCUGACCGAGUCAAGUUGCAGUUGCAUGCUCCUUUAUAUGUACUCUCACAGUUUGAUGUACACUAACACUUUCCAUAUUUGUUGUUGAACUAGCACCACGGCGCAAGCGGAAACAGACAUCAGGGACAAUGCUUGACAUAUUAACAAAAUCUAAAGGAGGAAGAAUGGAGAUCCAUUUUGAGGCAGGUUUAAAAAGGCCACGUGAUGCUACAGAGUCAGCCAAGUUAGUAUCAGAGGAAGCCGUUGCCGUUAGGUGUCAUGCACGUAUCCUCCCAACGUGGAUCCAGUACAGGAAUGAGAAAGACAAUACCCAGUUUAACACCCUCCUUGACCAUUUAUCCGUAAGUAAUGUUAUUCAUCGCAAUUAGUAACAUUGUCUUGCUCUGUUCCAUACAUUCUAGCUUCCUCCUAAUAAGACUCACAUUCUUUUUUAAACAGAUGAGGUUCAAGUUGGAUCCGAAAGAUGAUGCAACUAAACAAGCAUGCACUCAUGUUUUUCAGUCUGCUCUGCGACAUAUCGGUACCACCUUAGAAAAUCUCACUUUGAAGGCAAGGCUAACAAUGAAAUCGCCCAAACAUCUCCAGUGGAAUAUAUUACAGAUGAAGACUGGACAGUCCUCGUUAAACACUGGUCUGAUCCAAAGUAUCAGGUAGGCUAUAUGUAUUUGAUCAGACCACAUAUUGAACUUGUAUUUAUGUAUGUGCCUUACAAGUGUAUCUUCUGCUAGGCUAACUGUUUGAAGAACAAAACUAAUCAUUCUAAAGUGAAAUUCCAACAGACAACAGGAUCUCGUAGCUAUAUUGCACACUGCGAGGCUCUUGUAAAUAGCUGCUACUUCCUUCUUUUUUUGGUGCCAUAUUAUCGUAUCUAUAUUGACUUGUUCCAAAUACAGAGGAAAGCCCGUGCGGACAUAAAAGAACCUGAACCAAAUGCAGUGCAAAUCUUCAAGGAUUGCCACACCAGCAAGAUGAAGGGCAUGAGCACACCAGUUCAAGCCGCUGUUGUAAGUCCUUACUCCUCCUGCCUUGAACUGAUUGGUACUGUGAUGUGUUCAUUUAACUACUUGGUUUGCAGCCAAUGUCAGUUACUCUGUUCACUUUUAUUCAUAGUUGUCUUAACGUAUCAUUUCACCUUACAUGGUUUAAAAGAGAUGAAGGAUAUUCUUUUGGUCUUGAUCUGUAAUCUAGUUGUUAUGUUCACGUGCGCACACAAUGAUAAAAUAGCCUGUUUGUUUUAUAUCUGUUUGCCCAUGAUAUGAAUGAUGUCAUACUAUGUUCAUCCUACUUUAAACCAUGUCUCUUUAUCCUUAGAUGUCAACGAAUGUGAGGAAAUAGACAAUACAGUAGGCAUGCUACAUGGACAUAUGUUUCGAAAGUGAUUUUAUUAUGUAGUUGGCACUACAAUACAUGCUAAUGUAUUACAGUAGUUCACCAAAAUAAGUUAUGUAUAAACGUUUAACCUACUUUGUUUGUUUUUGUCUCAUUAGUAACUUAUCUGGUACACUAAUCUACAAGUUCAAACUUUCAGGAAGCUAUGGAACAAAUGAUUGAACAGCCACAACCACCUGAAGGUGACGAGGCUACUACAGGCACAAUGUCACCUCUUGCUGCAGUGCGUUAGUAUCUCUCCACUAACAGUGCAAAAAGCACCUUCCUGCGCAAUUCUGGGUUGGUUGUCAAGGUAACCUCAUCCAAAUCGCCUACUGAACAUAAUCUUCCUGCUAGACAGAGUGAUAUAUCUGUGCUCCAGACAUAAGUCCAAUCCCUAAUGGACGUUGUUUCGGAAACAAGAAUAGUGGUUGAGAAAUGUCGUCAAGAUAUGAAUGGUUUUGAAACCAGACUAUCAGACAUUCGCUUCGUUGUUCAAGAGCAAUGGCAGAAAAAAGGUGGAGAUCGUGCUGCUCCAUCAGAUUCUACAGCCUGAAACAUUAGCACUCAGGUCAAAUGAUCUGUGCUUCUAUACAUCUGAUGGUGCUUUUAUCUAGAAGGACUGUAAAUUUUAUGCCAAUAGGCCUUUUGUUGUAUGGUUGGAAUUUAUUUUGUUGUGAUACAACAUUUAUGAUGCUGCCUCAGGCUGCAGUAAUUAUGCUAUUUUUGUAUAGUGUAGGUUUAUCUCAGUAACGUAUUCGGCCGAAAGCUUCGUAGGAGCCCAACAUGCCAACAUUCGUCGGGCCCAUUCCAAUUGGGCUAAAAACGAUUACGGGCCGAAAUUGGCAUGUAGCCCACUAAAAAUAUCUGGGCCUAAAUUAGCAUAAGCUUUCAUAUUUUUCUGGUAGGCCUGUGCCCAUAGUGGGCCUUUAACAGGCCUAAACAUAAUUUGGGCCCUCAGUAAAAAUAGGCCGUUUACACGUGUAAAUAUCUUGAGCCCAUAAAAAACAUGGGCCUUUAAUAGACCGAAAGUGAGAUUGGACCCAUUUACGAUGCGGAUCUUUGACAGGCCGAAAUUCGGACGGGCCGUAAAUGCGCCGACCUAAUACACGGGCCUUUAACAGGCUAGAACUUCGGUUGGGCUAGAUUAUCGUCAUUUUUAUAUGGGCCGUUAAUGGGCCCGAUAUGACGUUGGGCCACAUAUGGCCCAUGGUUUACGUACGGCGUUAACAGGCCGAAAAUGACAACAGGCCAAAAGUGGCCCAAAGCUAUAGUGGGCCUCUAACAGGCCGAAUGUCAGACAUGGCCGAAUAUGACCCAAAUCCUUCACGGUCGUUUAUGGGCCGAAAGUUUUGAUGGCCUGUAAAUGGGCCCAAAUGAAGCCGGACCUUUAACAGUCCGGAAAUACACCGGGUCGUAAUUCGGCCCAAUUACUUAGCGGACUGUUAACGGGCAAGAAGUGACCAUGGGCCGCGUUGAUGACAAGUUUAGGACAGGCUGUUGACGGGCCGAUUUGACAGAGAAUGUUGGGCCUUUAGCUGGGCCGGCCCAUUAUGGUCUGCAGAAUCUUGUGGGCCUUUAGCUAGGCCGGCCCAUUGUGGUCUGCAAAAUCUUGUGGGCCUUUAGCUGGGCUGGCCCAUUAUGGUCUGCAAAAUCGUGUGGGCCUUUAGCUGGGCCGGCCCAUUAUGGUCCGCUAAAUUUUGUGGGCCUUUAGCUGGGCCAGCCCAUUAUGGUCCGCUAAAUCUUAUGGGCCUUCGGUUGGGCCGGCCCAUUUAAACUUUGUGGGCCACUUUUGGGCCGGUCCACGUGUCAACAUAUCAUAGGCCCAUCUCGACCGUUGGAUGAGUGACACCUGUUCCAACGCGGAGCUGACGCGUGGAUCCGUCAGCCAAUGAGAAUUUUACACGUGGAAAAUCGGCAUUGGUCGUGGCUGUUAACGGGUUAUUGGAUCCAAAAUCCGACCCGAUAGCUUAACGGCGUUCCGUUACGGUGGAUGCCACGAGUCGGUCACCCUUGACGAAAGCACUUCUGUGACGCGCGAUUUAUCGUCAUGGAAGUGGACACUUCCGUGAUGAUAAUUUUGGCAAUGUCAUGGAACACUUCUACGACAGCACAGGUAUGACUAUCUUGAUUAUGUCAUAAAUUUGUCAUGGAUGUACAUGCAUGAUAGAAAACGCGACCUACUGUGACAAACACGUAUCAUCACGGAAGUGUAUUUUUUUGUAGUGCAAUCUGAGUGACAAAUCCUAAUCUCGAUCUAUGCCAACUCAACAAACACCAUUGGAGACACCUGUAGAGCACCUUUAUAAUCACCCAGUUAUGUUGUGACGUUUGGUUGCACAUUAAGUGUUCCUCCGGUAUUCGGUAGUUGCAUAAUCUCAUAGUCAUAGGAACAUGUAUAAGUCAUGAAGAAAGCAAUAGCAAAUAAACUAAACGAUCAAGUGCUAGGCUAAUGGAAUGGGUCAAGUCAAUCACAUCAUUCUCCAAUGAUGUGAUCCCGUUAAUCAAAUGACAACUCAUGUCUAUGGCUAGGAAACUUAACCAUCUUUGAUUCAACGAGCUAGUCAAGUAGAGGCAUACUAGUGACACUCUGUUUGUCUAUGUAUUCACACAUGUACUAAGUUUUCGGUUAAUACAGUUCUAGCAUGAAUAAUAAACAUCAUGAUAUAAGGAAAUAUAAAUAACAACUUUAUUAUUGCCUCUAGGGCAUAUUUCCUUCAGGUAUUCGGUGACUUGAGCAUUGUCUCCUACUGGAUUGAUACCUUGGUUCUCAAAACUGAGGGAAAUACUUACUCUACUUUGCUGCAUCACCCUUUCCUCUUCAAGGGAAAAACCAACGCAAGCUCAAGAGGUAGCAGGAAGAAUUUCUGGCGCCGUUGCCGGGGAGAUCUACGCCAAGUCUACCAAGUACCCAUCAUAAACUCUCAUCUCUUGCAUUACAUUAUUCGCCAUUCGCCUCUCGUUUUCCUCUCCCCCACUUCUAAAAUGAUUUUCGAAAAGUUUUGCCUUUUCUUCGCCCCUCUUCCGUUCAUCUUCUUCGCUUGCUAUUUGUGUGCUCGUGUGUUGGACCGCUUGUUUUGUCGCGAUGGCUCAACCAAAAAACCGUUGAUCCUCACCUCAGGAGGUUGGACGAAAUUGAAAAUAAUGUUAGAAGCUUCAUGUCUUUGCAAUUUGAGCAUAAUAAUUUCUUCAGAAAUGAGCUCAAGGAGCAAAAAAGUUUUAUGGAAUACAUGAAUAAAGAGCUUGAUGAUAUGUCUAGGGAAUUUUAUGGCUUGAAAUCUCAGUUUGCUCAUCUUGAAAUUUUCGUAGGCCAAAUUUCUUAUAAGCAAGCUACCUUGGUAAAUAAGAUGGCCGCUAAACCAGAAUCUUUAAAUAAUGAUGAAGAUCUUAAAGUGAUUGAUGUGGCUCCUAUUGAAUCUUUGUUUUCCAAUAAAAAUCUUGAUAAAGAUGGGACUGGAGAUGAGUCAACUUUAUUUAAAAGGCGUCCCUAUGAUUCGGAGCUUUUAGAUCUUGAUGCAAAAAUUGAUAAAAGUGGGAUUGCAGAGGUCAAAACUUUAAGUAGCAAUGAACCCACUCUUUUGGAUUUCAAGGAAUUUAAUUAUGACAAUUAUUCUUUAAUAGAUUGUAUUUCUUGUUGCAAACCAUGUUGAAUUCUCCUCAUGCUUAUAAUCAAAAUGAAAGGAUCGAUAUAGUUGACUAGAGGGGGGGUGAAUAGGCAACUAACAAUUUUUAAAUUUUCUUUACCAAUUUAAACUUUGCAUCAAAGUAGGUUGUCUAGAUAUGCAACUAGGUGAGCAACCUAUAUGAUGCAACAACAACAAGCACACAAGCAAGCAAGAGAUAUAACACAAAUAAGCUUGCACAAGUAAAGGCACGAGAUAACCAAGAGUGGAGCCGGUGGAUACGAGGAUGUGUUACCGAAGUUCCUUCCCUUUGAGGGGAAGUACGUCUCCGUUGGAGCGGUGUGGAGGAACAAUUCUCCCCAAGAAGCCACUAGGGCCACCGUAUUCUUCUCACGCCCUCACACAGUGCGAGAUGCCGUGAUUCCACUAUUGGUGCCCUUGGAGGCGGCGACCGAACCUUUACAAACAAGGUUGGGGAAAUCUCCACAACUUAAUUGGAGGCUCCCAACAACACCACGAAGCUUCACCACAAUGGACUAUGGCUCCGUGGUGACCUCAACCGUCUAGGGUGCUCAAACACCCAAGAGUAACAAGAUCCGCAAGGGAUUAGUGGGGGGAAUCAAAUUUCUCUUGGUGGAAGUGUAGAUCGGGGCCUUCUCAACCACUUCCGAGCAAAUCAACAAGUUUGAUUGGCUAGGGAGUGAGAUCGGGCGAAAAUGGAUCUUGGAGCAACAAUGGAGCUUAGGGAUGGAAGAGGUAGUCAACUAGAGGAAGAAGACACCCCUUAUAUAGUCGAGAACUAAAUCCAACCGUUAUCCACCUAACCAGCCCGCGACUUGCGGUACUACCGCACCAGGCAAGCGAUACUACCGCAAGGCCUCACGACACUACUGUGACGGCCCACGGUACUACCGAAGACACGGCAGAAGCGAGGGCAAGCCUGACGCGCAGAGGCGGAGGGCGGUACUGCCGCUGGCGCGGUACUACCGCUCCCCCUUGCGGUACUACCGCAAGGCAGGUCUGGACUGGCUUGGGAAGGACGCGGAUGAAUAAAAAUACAUCCGUGCCAGCUUCCGCUAAAAAACACUCGAUGCAAAAAUCCGACACGGUACUACCGCAUAGGGCGUGCGGUACUACCGCGCAGGGAGCGGAUGUAAAAAAUUACACCCGCCCCUACUUCCGCUCAUGUAGCUGCGCGAGACCAGGACUCGCGGUACUACCGCACGCAUGGGGCAGUACUACCGUGUCGUUGUACAAAAAGAGGGGUGCGUUUUUGUACCCCUAUACUUGUGCACGGGCAGUCAGAGCCGUGCCUACGGUCACGACAAGCAGAGCAGGGUAGGUGAGCCAAGGUAAGGUCGAAGCCCAAGGUAAUAAGAGCAACGCCAAGGUCAAGACCACAAAGAGCAGAGGGACGAAGCAGGUUCCCCCGGCAAGACCCUUGCCGGGGCGGCUCGCCCCACACCAACAGAGCGAGCCACCCUUGAGCCCACGGUCCCCAACGCCAUCAUCCACGUGGGGCCAGGGCUCGGGAAGGCACCUCUGUGGUGGCAUGCAGAUCUUUGUGAAGACAUGUUCAAGAUCAGAUCAGGAUUAGAAGACGACGAUUCUCGGCAAGAUCCCUGCCGAGGAAGGCCACCAGACCCCCUGCAAGGUCCUUGCUGGGGGACGACAACACACCACGGCAAGACCCUUGCCGGGCCCCCCGGCAAGCCCUCACCAAGGACGCCAGCGGGGCCACCGCCAAACCCGCGCCGGACGGGCUUCCACCACCGUUCACAUGCAGCUGCCAGCCCAACCAGCUGGGCGGGCACCUGCGUGGCAACAUGCAGCUCCCAGGCCAACUCAUCGAGCGCCUGCGUGGCGGCAUGCAGAUCUUCGUGAAGGCUCUGCCACCGCGCCACCUCAGUGUUGGAAAUAUGCCCUAGAGGCAAUAAUAAAUGGUUAUUAUUAUAUUUCUUUGUUCAUGGUAAUUGUCUAUUAUUCAUGCUAUAAUUGUAUUGUCCGGAAAUCGUAAUACAUGUGUGAAUACAUAGACCACAAAGUGUCCCUAGUAAGCCUCUAGUUGACUAGCUCGUUGAUCAACAGAUAGUCAUGGUUUCCUGACUAUGGACAUUGGAUGUCAUUGAUAACGGGAUCACAUCAUUAGGAGAAUGAUGUGAUGGACAAGACCCAAUCCUAAGCAUAGCAUAAAAGAUUGUGUAGUUUCGUUUGCUAGAGCUUUUCCAAUGUCAAGUAUCUUUUCCUUAGACCAUGAGAUCGUGCAACUCCCGGAUACCGUAGGAGUGCUUUGGGUGUGCCAAACAUCACAACGUAACUGGGUGACUAUAAAGGUGCAUUACGGGUAUCUCCGAAAGUGUCUGUUGGGUUGGCACGGAUCGAGACUGGGAUUUGUCACUCCGUGUGACGGAGAGGUAUCUCUGGGCCCACUCGGUAAUGCAUCAUCAUAAUGAGCUCAAUGUGACUAAGGCGUUAGUCACGGGAUCAUGCAUUGCGGUACGAGUAAAGAGACUUGCCAGUAACGAGAUUGAACAAGGUAUUGGGAUACCGACGAUCGAAUCUCGGGCAAGUAACAUACCGAUUGACAAAGGGAAUUGCAUACGGAUUGAUUGAAUCCUCGACACCGUGGUUCAUCCGAUGAGAUCAUCGUGGAACAUGUGGGAGCCAACAUGGGUAUCCAGAUCCCGCUGUUGGUUAUUGACCGGAGAGGCGUCUCGGUCAUGUCUGCAUGUCUCCCGAACCUGUAGGGUCUACACACUUAAGGUCCGGUGACGCUAGGGUUGUAGAGAUAUAUGUAUGCGGAAACCCGAAAGUUGUUCGGAGUCCCGGAUGAGAUCCCGGACGUCACGAGAGGUUCCGGAAUGGUCCGGAGGUGAAGAAUUAUAUAUAGGAAGUCAAGUUUCGGCCACCGGGAAAGUUUCGGGGGUUACCGGUAUUGUACCGGGACCACCGGAAGGGUCCCGGGGGUCCACCGGGUGGGGCCACCUGUCCCGGAGGGCCCCGUGGGCUGAAAGUGGAAGGUAACCAGCCCUUAGUGGGCUGGGGCGCCCCCCUUGGGCCUCCCCCAUGCGCCUAGGGUUGGGAACCCUGGGGGGGGGGGAGCUUCCCCCUUGCCUUGGGGGGCAAGGCACCCCUUUCCACCCCUUGGCCGCCGCCCCCCCAACCCUAGAUGGGUUUUGGCCGCCCCCUCCCAAGGGGGCCUAUAUAAAGGGGGGGAGGAAGGGCGGCAACCUACAGCCUUGGGCGCCUCCCUCCUCCCCUGCAACACCUCUCUCUCUCUCACAGAAGCUCGGCGAAGCCCUGCCGGAGACCCGCUACAUCCACCACCACGCCGUCGUGCUGUUGGAUCUCCAUCAACCUCUCCUCCCCCCCUUGCUGGAUCAAGAAGGAGGAGACGUUGCUGCACCGUACGUGUGUUGAACGCGGAGGUGCCGUCCGUUCGGCACUCGGUCAUCGGUGAUUUGGAUCACGACGAGUACGACUCCGUCAUCCACGUUCAUUGGAACGCUUCCGCUCGCGAUCUACAAGGGUAUGUAGAUGCACUCCCUUCCCCUGGUUGCUAGUACACUCCAUAGAUGCAUCUUGGUGAGCGUAGGAAAUUUUUUAAAUUAUGCUACGAUUCCCAACAGUGGCAUCAUGAGCCAGGUCUAUGUGUAGUUACUAUGCACGAGUAGAACACAAAGCAGUUGUGGGCGUUGAGUUUGCCAAUUCUUCUUGCCGCUACUAGUCUUUUCUUGUUUCGGCGGCAUUGUAGGAUGAAGCGGCCCGGACCGACCUUACGCGUACACUUACGUGAGACAGGUUCCACCGACUGACAUGCACUAGAUGCAUAAGGUGGCUAGCGGGUGUCUGUCUCUCCUACUUUAGUCGAAACGGAUUCGAUGAAAAGGGUCCUUAUGAAGGGUAAAUAGAAAUUGGCAAAUCACGUUGUGGUCAUACGUAGGUAAGAAACGUUCUUGCUAGAAACCUACAAACCACGUAAAAACUUGCAACAACAAUUAGAGGACGUCUAACUUGUUUUUGCAGCAAGUGCUAUGUGAUGUGAUAUGGCCAGAAGAUGUGAUGAAUGAUAUAUGUGAUGUAUGAGAUUGAUCAUAUUCUUGUAAUAGAAAUCACGACUUGCAUGUCGAUGAGAAUGACAACCGGCAGGAGCCAUAGGAGUUGUCUUUAUUAUUUUGUAUGACCUGCGUGUCAUUGAAUAACGCCAUGUAAAUUACUUUACUUCGUUACUAAACGCGUUAGCCAUAGAAGUAGAAGUAAUCGUUGGCGUGACGACUUCAUGAAGACACAAUGAUGGAGAUCAUGGUGUCAUGCCGGUGACAAAGAUGAUCAUGGUGCCCCGAAGAUGGAGAUCAAAGGAGCAUAAUGAUAUUGGCCAUAUCAUGUCACUAUUUGAUUGCAUGUGAUGUUUAUCAUGUUUGUGCAUCUUAUUUGCUUAGAACAACGGUAGCAAGUAGGAUGAUCCCUUAUAAUAAUUUCAAGAAAGUGUUCACCCUAACUGUGCACCGUUGCGAAGGUUCGUUGUUUCGAAGCACCACGUGAUGAUCGGGUGUGAUAGAUUCUAACGUUCGAAUACAACGGGUGUUGACGAGCCUAGCAUGUACAGACAUGGCCUCGGAACACACGCAAUACACUUAGGUUGACUUGACGAGCCUAGCAUGUACAGACAUGGCCUCGGAACACGGAGGACCGAAAGGUCGAGCAUGAGUCGUAUAGAAGAUACGAUCAACAUGGAGAUGUUCACCGAUCUUGACUAGUCCGUCUCACGUGAUGAUCGGACACGGCCUAGUUAAACUCGGAUCAUGUUUCACUUAGAUGACUAGAGGGAUGUCUAUCUGAGUGGGAGUUCAUUAAAUAAUUUGAUUAGAUGAACUCAAUUAUCAUGAACUUAGUCUAAAAUCUUUACACUAUGUAUUGUAGAUCAAAUGGCCAACGUUGUCCUCAAUUUCAACGCGUUCCUAGAGAAAACCAAGCUGAAAGAUGAUGGCAACAACUAUACGGACUGGGUCCGGAACCUGAGGCUCAUCCUCAUAGUAGCCAAGAAAGAUUAUGUCUUAGAAGCACCGCUAGGUGAUGCACCAAUCCCACAGAACCAAGACGUUAUGAACGCUUGGCAAUCACGUGCUGAUGAUUACUCCCUCGUUCCGUGCGGCAUGCUUUACAGCUUAGAACCGGGUCUCCAAAAGCGUUUUGAGAAACAUGGAGCAUAUGAGAUGUUCGAGGAGCUGAAACUGGUUUUUCAAGCUCAUGCCCGGGUCGAGAGAUAUGAUGUCUCCGACAAGUUCUUCAGCUGUAAAAUGGAGGAGAACAGUUCUGUUAGUGAGCACAUACUCAGAAUGUCUGGGUUGCACAACCGCUUGUCUCAGCUGGGAGUUAAUCUCCCGAAUGACGCGGUCAUUGACAGAAUCCUCCAGUCGCUUCCACCAAGCUACAAGAGCUUUGUGAUGAACUACAAUAUGCAGGGGAUGGAAAAGACCAUUCCCGAGGUAUAUUCAAUGCUGAAAUCAGCGGAAGGGGAGAUCAGAAAAGAACAUCAAGUGUUGAUGGUGAAUAAAACCACCAAGUUCAAGAAGGGCAAGGGUAAGAAGAACUUCAAGAAGGACGGCAAGGGAGUUGCCGCGCCCGGUAAACCAGUUACUAGGAAGAAGUCAAAGAAUGGACCCAAGCCCGGGACUGAGUGCUUUUAUUGCAAGGGAAGUGGUCACUGGAAGCGGAACUGCCCCAAAUAUUUAGCGGACAAGAAGAAGGCCGGCAACACCCAAGGUAUAUGUGAUAUACAAGUAAUUGAUGUGUACCUUACCAGUACUCGUAGUAGCUCCUGGGUAUUUGAUACCGGUGCGGUUGCUCAUAUUUGUAACUCAAAGCAGGAACUACGGAAUAAACGGAGACUGGCAAAGGACGAGGUGACGAUGCGCGUCGGGAAUGGUUCCAAGGUCGAUGUGAUCGCCGUCGGCACGCUACCUCUGCAUCUACCCACGGGAUUAGUUUUAAACCUCAAUAAUUGUUAUUUAGUGCCAGCUUUGAGCAUGAACAUUGUGUCUGGAUCUCGUUUAAUUCGAGAUGGCUACUCAUUUAAAUCCGAGAAUAAUGGUUGUUCUAUUUAUUUCAGAGAUAUGUUUUAUGGUCAUGCCCCGCUGGUCAAUGGUUUAUUUUUGAUGAAUCUCGAACGUGAUGUUACACAUGUUCAUAGUGUGAAUACCAAAAGAUGUAAAGUUGAUAACGAUAGUCCCACAUACUUGUGGCACUGCCGCCUUGGUCACAUUGGUGUCAAGCGCAUUAAGAAGCUCCAUGCAGAUGGACUUUUGGAGUCUCUUGAUUACGAAUCAUUUGACACGUGCGAACCAUGCCUCAUGGGUAAGAUGACCAAGACUCCGUUCUCCGGAACAAUGGAGCGAGCAACCAACUUAUUAAAAAUCAUACAUACCGAUGUGUGUGGUCCAAUGAGUGUUGAGGCUCGAGGAGGAUAUCGUUAUGUUCUCACUCUCACUGAUGAUUUAAGUAGAUAUGGAUAUGUCUACCUAAUGAAACACAAAUCUGAAACCUUUGAAAAGUUCAAGGAAUUUCAGAGUGAAGUUGAGAAUCAACGUGACAGGAGAAUAAAAUUCCUACGAUCAGAUCGUGGUGGAGAAUAUUUAAGUCAUGAGUUUGGUGCACACUUAAGGAAAUGUGGAAUAGUUUCACAACUCACGCCGCCUGGAACACCUCAGAGAAAUGGUGUGUCCGAACGUCGUAAUCGCACUCUAUUGGAUAUGGUGCGAUCUAUGAUGUCUCUUAUCGAUUUACCGCUCUCAUUUUGGGGCUAUGCUUUAGAGACUGCCGCAUUCACUUUAAAUAGGGCUCCGUCGAAAUCCGUUGAGACGACACCAUAUGAAUUAUGGUUUGGGAAGAAACCUAAGCUGUCGUUUCUAAAAGUUUGGGGAUGCGAUGCUUAUGUCAAGAAACUUCAACCUGAAAAGCUCGAACCCAAAUCAGAAAAAUGCAUCUUCAUAGGAUACCCUAAGGAAACUAUUGGGUACACCUUCUACCUCAGAUCCGAAGGCAAGAUCUUCGUUGCCAAGAACGGGUCCUUUCUAGAGAAGGAGUUUCUCUCGAAAGAAUUGAGUGGGAGGAAAGUGGAACUUGAUGAGGUGAUAGUCACCCCUUCCGAACCGGAAAGUAGCGCAGCGCGGGAAAAUGUUCCUGUGGUGCCUACACCGACUGGGGAGGAAGUUAAUGAUGAUGAUCAUGAAGCUUCGGAUCAAGUUACUGAACUUCGUAGGUCCACAAGGACACGUUCCGCACCAGAGUGGUAUGGCAACCCUGUCCUGGAAAUCAUGUUGUUAGACAACGGUGAACCUUCGAACUAUGAAGAAGCGAUGGCGGGCCUGGAUUCCGACAAAUGGCUAGAAGCCAUGAAAUCCGAGAUAGAAUCCAUGUACGAAAACAAAGUAUGGACUUUGACUGACUUGCCCGAUGAGCGGCGAGCCAUAGAAAACAAAUGGAUCUUUAAGAAGAAGACGGACGCAGAUGGUAAUGUGACCAUCUACGAAGCUCGACUUGUCGCUAAGGGUUAUCGACAAGUUCAAGGGGUUGACUACGAUGAGACUUUCUCACCCGUAGCGAAGCUGAAGUCCGUCCGAAUCAUGUUAGCAAUUGCCGCAUACUAUGAUUAUGAGAUAUGGCAGAUGGACGUCAAAACGGCAUUCCUUAAUGGCUUCCUUAAGGAAGAGUUGUAUAUGGUGCAGCCGGAAGGUUUUGUCGAUCCUAAGAAUGCUAACAAAGUGUGCAAGCUCCACGCUCAAUCUAUGGGCUGGUGCAACCAUCUCGGAGUUGGAACAUUCGCUUUGAUGAGAUGAUCAAAGCGUUUGGGUUUACACAGACUUAUGGAGAAGCCUGUGUUUACAAGAAAGUGAGUGGGAGCUCUGUAGCAUUUCUUAUAUUAUAUGUGGAUGACAUACUAUUGAUGGGAAAUGAUAUAGAAUUCUUGGAAAGUAUUAAGGCCUAUUUGAAUAAGUGUUUUUCAAUGAAGGACCUUGGAGAAGCCGCUUAUAUAUUAGGCAUCAAGAUCUAUAGAGAUAGAUCAAGACGCCUCAUUGGUCUUUCACAGAGUACAUACCUUGACAAGAUAUUGAAGAAGUUCAGUAUGGAUCAGUCCAAGAAGGGGUUCUUGCCUGUAUUGCAAGGUGUGCAAUUGAGCACGGCUCAAUGCCCGACCACGGCAGAAGAUAUAGAAGAGAUGAGUGUCAUCCCCUAUGCCUCGGCCAUAGGGUCUAUUAUGUAUGCCAUGCUGUGUACUAGACCUGAUGUAAACCUUGCCGUAAGUUUGGUAGGAAGGUACCAAAGUAAUCCCGGCAAGGAACACUGGACAGCGGUCAAGAAUAUCCUGAAGUACCUGAAGAGGACUAAGGAUAUGUUUCUCGUUUAUGGAGGUGACGAAGAGCUCGUCGUAAAGGGUUACGUCGACGCUAGCUUCGACACAGAUCUGGAUGACUCGAAGUCACAGACCGGAUACGUGUAUAUUUUGAAUGGAGGAGCAGUAAGCUGGUGCAGUUGCAAGCAAAGCGUCGUGGCGGGAUCUACAUGUGAAGCGGAGUACAUGGCAGCCUCGGAGGCAGCACAGGAAGCAGUCUGGAUGAAGGAGUUCAUUACCGACCUAGGGGUGAUUCCCAAUGCGUCGGGCCCAAUGACUCUCUUCUGUGACAACACUGGAGCUAUUGCCCUUGCGAAGGAGCCCAGGUUUCACAGGAAGACCAGGCAUAUCAAGCGUCGCUUCAACUCCAUUCGUGAAAGUUUUCAAAAUGGAGACAUAGAUAUUUGUAAAGUACACACGGACCUGAAUGUAGCAGAUCCGUUGACUAAACCUCCCCCUAGGGCAAAACAUGAUCAACACCAGGACACAAUGGGUGUUCGAUUCAUCACAAUGUAACUAGAUUAUUGACUCUAGUGCAAGUGGGAGACUGUUGGAAAUAUGCCCUAGAGGCAAUAAUAAAUGGUUAUUAUUAUAUUUCUUUGUUCAUGGUAAUUGUCUAUUAUUCAUGCUAUAAUUGUAUUGUCCGGAAAUCGUAAUACAUGUGUGAAUACAUAGACCACAAAGUGUCCCUAGUAAGCCUCUAGUUGACUAGCUCGUUGAUCAACAGAUAGUCAUGGUUUCCUGACUAUGGACAUUGGAUGUCAUUGAUAACGGGAUCACAUCAUUAGGAGAAUGAUGUGAUGGACAAGACCCAAUCCUAAGCAUAGCAUAAAAGAUCGUGUAGUUUCGUUUGCUAGAGCUUUUCCAAUGUCAAGUAUCUUUUCCUUAGACCAUGAGAUCGUGCAACUCCCGGAUACCAUAGGAGUGCUUUGGGUGUGCCAAACGUCACAACGUAACUGGGUGACUAUAAAGGUGCACUACGGGUAUCUCCGAAAGUGUCUGUUGGGUUGGCACGGAUCGAGACUGGGAUUUGUCACUCCGUGUGACGGAGAGGUAUCUCUGGGCCCACUCAGUAAUGCAUCAUCAUAAUGAGCUCAAUGUGACUAAGGCGUUAGUCACGGGAUCAUGCAUUGCGGUACGAGUAAAGAGACUUGCCGGUAACGAGAUUGAACAAGGUAUUGGGAUACCGACGAUCGAAUCUCGGGCAAGUAACAUACCGAUUGACAAAGGGAAUUGCAUAUGGAUUGAUUGAAUCCUCGACACCGUGGUUCAUCCGAUGAGAUCAUCGUGGAACAUGUGGGAGCCAACAUGGGUAUCCAGAUCCCGCUGUUGGUUAUUGACCGGAGAGGCGUCUCGGUCAUGUCUGCAUGUCUCCCGAACCCGUAGGGUCUACACACUUAAGGUCCGGUGACGCUAGGGUUGUAGAGAUAUAUGUAUGCGGAAACCCGAAAGUUGUUCGGAGUCCCGGAUGAGAUCCCGGACGUCACGAGAGGUUCCGGAAUGGUCCGGAGGUGAAGAAUUAUAUAUAGGAAGUCAAGUUUCGGCCACCGGGAAAGUUUCGGGGGUUACCGGUAUUGUACCGGGACCACCGGAAGGGUCCCGGGGGUCCACCUGUCCCAGAGGGCCCCGUGGGCUGAAAGUGGAAGGGAACCAGCCCUUAGUGGGCUGGGGCGCUCCCCUUGGGCCUCCCCCCAUGCGCCUAGGGUUGGGAACCCUGGGGGGGAGCUUCCCCCUUGCCUUGGGGGGCAAGGCACCCCUUUCCACCCCUUGGCCGCCGCCCCCCCAACCCUAGAUGGGUUUUGGCCGCCCCCCCCCUCCCAAGGGGGCCUAUAUAAAGGGGGGGAGGGAGGGCGGCAACCUACAGCCUUGGGCGCCUCCCUCCUCCCCUGCAACACCUCUCUCUCUCUCACAGAAGCUCGGCGAAGCCCUGCUGGAGACCCGCUACAUCCACCACCACGCCGUCGUGCUGUUGGAUCUCCAUCAACCUCUCCUCCCCCCUUGCUGGAUCAAGAAGGAGGAGAUGUCGCUGCACCGUACGUGUGUUGAACGCGGAGGUGCCGUCCGUUCGGCACUCGGUCAUCGGUGAUUUGGAUCACGGCGAGUACGACUCCGUCAUCCACGUUCAUUGGAACGCUUCUGCUCGCGAUCUACAAGGGUAUGUAGAUGCACUCCCUUCCCCUCGUUGCUAGUACACUCCAUAGAUGCAUCUUGGUGAGCAUAGGAAAAUUUUUAAAUUAUGCUACGAUUCCCAACACUCAGCUGCCUGACUGCCUACAUGGCACUAUGCACCUCACUGGCCAGGGCGCGUGUCAAGGCGAGGAGGAGCGGCGACGGACGGGACGGGCCUCGCCCCCGUCCCCAAUAAAGCAAGGGGACACCUAAGCCAUGGAUUAAAUGCAUCUUGUCCUGUAAUACGAGCGAUAAGCUCAGGGCACUGUACGCCUUUCCACCUCCCGUGUGUCACUGUGGCAGCCCCUUUCAACUAUAAAAGGAGGCCCAUGGCAUACUGGAGGAGGAUUCGGCUCUUUCGAACCACACACUGACUAUAGCUAGUUCGAGAGCUCAAGAACUCUCAGAAAUACACCCACCAAAGCAGGACUAGGGUUUUACGCAUCCUCGCGGCCCUAACCUGGGUAAACGAACCUUGUGCUGUCUACUAGCCCUGCUCUCCUCACAACCCUGCGCCCCGGCAACCGUAGUAGGGAUUCUUGUGAUCCCAUAGGUGUCGUUCCACACCGACAUCUUUGGCGUGCCAGGUAGGGGGGCGCAAUUGUGAGAAUCUGGUCUAGUACUUAGCCUAGCAGUUCUUCAUCGCUUUCACUUUCUGAGAAGAAGGCGGCUGGAGGAACGACGCCGACUCGGCAACAGAAAAGCUAAGUCAUUCAGAGCCUUGGGUUAUUUCCUUUUACGUUUAAGGUUAUCGUCCUCGAGGAUCUUGCCUAUGUAUGGGAAACCUGCACGCAAAGGCCCCCCCCCCCCGCAAUUGGCAACGCCCUUGUUCUGUUUCGAGUCCGCUCAACAGCUCAAAGCGGCCGCUUCGAGAGUGGCGGGGUAGCCUUCCACACCUGGCAACGCUCCUGACUCUGACUCGAGUCAAACUCGAUAGUUCGGGUGGCCGCGCUAAGGGCGGUAAGGUGGUUCACCCGGCAGCAAGCACACCCGACAGGCCAAUGGGGAUCCGUCCCCAAGACGCCGCCCUGGGUUUACGCGCUGGCAAAGCCUACCCAGUUACGUAGGGCGGACAUACAAGGAAAAAUCGAACAGGAAAAUAACAUGCAUGAUACCAAAAGUGUUGCAGAGUUAUAUUACAUCAAAUUGUUGCUGCGGUUCUAACUAGAGAUAGCAAUUGUCUUGGUUGUGAACCUGCAGCGGCGAUAAAGAAUGGGAUGCCUAAUCCCGGCGCUGGCCCUCCACCCUCUGAAUUCCGCCGACUCGGCUAAUGAUGGGCUUGAUGCGCUCCAUGAGCGGCGCGAGGUCAGUACCCUCCGGCAAGCUCUCCAGCACGGUGCCGAAGUCGAGGUCGGGGUACCAGUGCGCCACCUUGGUGAGAACCUUGGUCAUGGCUCCCUGGCAAAACCUCCGGGACUCGUCGGCCAGUGAGGCCGCCCGGUUGGCGUGGAGCCGCUCCAGAGCGCCGACGACCUUUUCGAAGAACAUGGUCAGGCUGCAAUUGGCUCUCACGCUCCGCUCCGGGACGUACCUCACAUCCGGCAUCCCCAUGAUGGCCAGCUGUGCGGCGGCCUGGUUGGCGACAGUGGCGAGGCGAUCGAGCCAACAGUUCUCCCCCGCCACGUGAUCCGUGAAGUUGAGGCCCUCGUUCUCCCGCAACUGCUUCUCGGCCUCCAGCUCCUUGUCCAGGGUCCCCUCUCGGGUCUUGGCCUCCUCCAGCACCUUCUCGAGACCCUCCAGCUUCAGCUUGAGGUCCUUGAUGGAGUUGUUGGCCUCGGAGAGCUCCCCAGCCUUGCCGACGACCGCGCCCUGCGCCUCUGUCAGGGCACUGUUGAGCGUGUCCUUCUCCUGGGACAGCUUCAGGGCCUCCUCCUUCAGCCCGGCGCGCUCCGCCUCCAACUCCUUCACCUUGCCGGCGUGAACCUGGGCCUGGGCAUUGAGUCCCUCUGCUCCAGCUCACUGGUCCGCUGCAGGACAAGCUUCUCCACCUCUGCAUCCUUGCCGCGAAGCGUGGCGGCAAGCUUCUCCUCGCGUGCAGUGAGGUCCUACUCCUGGGAGUUCAGCGCGGCCUGGUGCUGGGUCCGGGCGGCUUCGGCGGCCGCGGCCAAGUUCCUCGCCGUCUCCUGAGCCUUCUCGAUGUCGGCAAGCUUCAUGGUGAGCUCCACGUCGCGCUUGGCCAGCUCGCCCUGGGCGGCCUUGAGCUCCUUGUGGGCCUCGCGGAACCAGUCCUGCGUCUCGGCAAUGCACUCCUGGAGGUCCGCCUCCGCCUUCUCCACCACCGCCGUCCUGGACUUAACCUUGUCCAGGCGGGCGCGGUGGAGCGCCUGGAGCUUCCGGAAGCUGGCGCCCAUGGCGUGGAGGAGCCGCUCUUCCUGCGAACCGUCGCCGCCAACGAUCGGCUCGUCGACAACCUCAAGCCCGGCAGCGGCAAGCACUUCGUCGUCGAACACCUCUCCCUCAACGGGUGUCCUGGUGCUUGAUGCGCCUGGGAGGUGGACGAACAAGUCUUCGCCCACCCUCAGGUACUUGCCGGAGCCGGAAGCAGCGGAAGAGGAAGGCUGGUCAUCAGCCACCUCCUCCUCCUCCCCGGCAGCGGCCCCGCCGGCCUCUCUGGCAGGCCCCUUGUCAGCCUCCUCAGCGGCAGCCUUGCCGGCCUCCCCGGUAGGCCCCUCGGCGACGUCCUCGGCAGCAUCCUUGGCAGCCUCCUCGGCGGCGAUCUUCUCGGCGUCCGCCUCGGCGGCCUUGGCGACGUUCUCAAUGACAGCAUCCACAUCCUCUGGGUUCACCGAGGAGGAAUCUGGACGCCGAAGAAGGGGGUGAGGCAAGUCCAGGACCAAGAGCCGGAAGGAAAAAGAAGCAAGGACGAACGGCGAAUGACUUACCCGUGCCAGCACCCGGCUGGGAAACGGAAGUCCCCUCUCCGCCAACAUUUGGCGUCGAGGCAAAGCCGCCGGUGCCCAAGUUCUCCUCCUCCUCUUCCAUGUGCGUGGGCUCGGUGCUUGGCGCCCUAGUCGGGGACGCCCCUCGGGGCGGCGUGGUCGAUGGGGGCGGCGUGUUGGGAGAAGCCCUCUGUGGCUCCUCCUGCUGCUGCUCUCCUCCUGCAUACCUGGCAAGGUCAGCACCAAAGUAUCAUGCCCCUAACACAUGUCAACGGGGGAAGAGUGAUGAACUUACGCCGGGGGCUGCUGUCCGGGCUGCUCAACACCACCAAUGGCGCCCCCGAAGUACCAACUGGGGGCUGGCCACCCGCCGAGACCUUGGCCCUCUUCAAUCUCUGGGCCAGCGUCUCCACGUCCCUGCAAAGAUGAAGACAAGUCAAGAUGAGCAACACAGAUUGAGGAGGCAGAGAUAACGAAAGGGAACCAGAUACUCACUCGUCGUCCGCCUCCUCCUAUGUUGUUUUCCUCUUCCUCCUCGGGCUGAGGGAUCCAUAAUCAAAAGUGACCUCCGUGACAACAUCCUCCGGAGGAGGAGAAGGAGGUGGCGUCUGGGCACGCGUGGACGAAGAAGGGGCGGCUGUCUUCUUCUUCAUCGCGACCUUCACCGGCUUCUUAGCCGCCGCGGCCCUCGUAUGGCGCCCGAACCCCUCCAAGGUCAGCUGUGGCCGCGCAGCCCUGCCGGGCCGGACCGGCUCGCUGGAACUGGCCCGCCGCAGGACUCGUCCUCUCCCCGCGGCUGGCGUCGGGCCUACAGGCUCGGCCUCCUCCGACGAUGACUCGCCGAUCACAUCUUCAACCAGAGGAGCCUCGGUGCCGGCGCUGCUGGCUCCCUCGGCGGCCUCCGCCCACCGGGCGAGCUCUUCCUCCUCCGCGGCCGUUGCGGCCUUGUCCUCCACACCGCCGGCGCUGCCGGCCUCCUUGGCAAGCUGUUCCUCCCUCGCCCUGGUGGCGAUGUAGUCCAGCUCUGCCUGGUUGGUGUCCUGGACAAGCAGCCGCUCGUCGUCGGCGUUGACGUACCCCUCAUGCAGGGUGUCAAAGAACUGCUGCACUUCGGCGUCCUCCGGCUCCUUCCAACUCGGGUCGGGGCCAUGCGCGUUGCAGUCCGGCAUCAUGGCAAUGAUCUCAGACUGACGCGAGUUGUUGCACAACGGGACCACCCCCGUCGGCAGCUUGAACAGAGGCCCCUUGAGGACCUUGCCGGCCUUCGCGGCGGCCCUCGCGACCUUGCCGGUCCGCUUGACCUCGUCGUCGCGGCCCACGUCGAGCUGGAAGAUCCGCUGGUAGAAAUGGGCGUUUCCCAUCACUGUGAAGUUGUGGUCGAGGCCGGGGCGGAGCCACAUGAUGUCGGCGGGGUUCGUGAAGAGCCAGGCUGGCCUCCCCUUGUUAUGCAGAGGAGCGAUCCGGCGACGGAGGAAGUCCGCCCCGAUCAUCUCAAGGGUGAGCCCGGCCUGGGUAAGCCGGAGAAUCCUGGUGGUGGCAACCGUGAUCUUUCUGUUGUUGGCGUCGAUGUCGCUCCAAUCGCUUCCGUGAACUGGCAACGCCCGACGAACUCUGCAGAACGUCGGCGGGUCCUUCUCUUCGAUCCAGCACCACCGGCCCCGCCAUUCUUCCCACCUCUCCUUCAUGGUGCCGUCCGGGUACGCUCCCUUGGAUUUUGGGAUCCAGGCGAUGCACCCCGAGAUGGCACCCCCCGUCUGGAUCCGAGGGAAGAAGUAAUGGCGGAAGAGCGCCGUGUUGGGGUGCACCCCAGCAAAGCCUUCGCAGAGGUGCGCGAAAAGGGCCAUGCACGCCACCGCAUUCGGAGUGAAAUCCAGGAGGCGAAAGCCGAAGGUGUGCAUGAUGUCAUUGAAGAAGUCGGAGAAGGGAGGACAGAGCCCACAAGAAAAAUAAUCAACAAAGAAGGGGUACCGAUUUGGGGCAGCCUCGGCGCAAUCGGCAGGGAUGACGCGCGUGGCUGGAUGCCCCGAAUUCUCCCCUCCCGUCUUCACCCCCCACAGGGGCCUGAAGGAGUCCCGAAGCUCAAACAAGUCGACUGUCAAGGGGAAGAAGGCGGACUGCGUCCGCUGCACCGCCAGCGCACUCUCCGGCGGCUCCGUGGCUCCGUCGUCCUUGGCCACUCCCUUGCCCUUGGUAGAUUUUGGCGCCAUGGCGGCUGGGUGAGGAGGGUAGGACGGAAGAGCGACGGGAGCACAAUGGCAGCGAACAGGAACGAGGCUCGGAGAAGAAGAGGAAGGCAAGCGGAGGUUUCUGAGAUUGGGGUUGUGCGAAGGGUAAAAGGAACAGUGCGCCCGCGGUUAUUCCUUUUUAUGGGGAAGCCGCGGCGCGCGCUGCCCAUUUACUGCGAUGUGACGCAUGCGUAAGAAAACCGCCCCACGCAUGCCGCCCACAUCACGCACACCCCCCCCACGCCGCGCCACGCGCGUGGGCCGUGGGAAUAAGCACAGCGCGCGAAAAGCCUUACCGCGGUAAAAACCGCCCCGCCUGCCCGCACACCAUUUUGAACCUGGCCCAACAACGUGCCGCGCUUAUGUAUGGCCCAGGCCCGGGGGCUCCUGUCGGUGUACAAAAAGAGGGGUGCAUUUUUGUACCCCUAUACCUAUGCACGGGCAGUCAGAGCCGCGCCUACGGUCACGACAAGCAGAGCAGGGGAGGUGAGCCAAGGUAAGGCUGAAGCCCAAGGUAAUAAGAGCAACGCCAAGGUCAAGACCACAAAGAGCAGCGGGACGAAGCAGGUUCCCCCGGCAAGACCCUUGCCGGGGUAGCCUCAGCGGCCCCGGCAAGACCCUUUCCUGGCGGCUCGCCCCACACCAACAGAGCGAGCCACCCUUGAGCCCACGGUCCCCAACACCAUCAUCCACGUGGGGCCAGGGCUCGGGAAGGCACCUCUGUGGUGGCAUGCAGAUCUUUGUGAAGACAUGUUCAAGAUCAAAUGAGGAUUAGAAGACGAUGAUUCUCGGCAAGAUCCCUGCCGAGGAAGGCCACCAGACCCCCGGCAAGGUCCUUGCCGGGGGACGACAGCACGCCACGGCAAGACCCUUGCCGGGGGACGACAGCACGCCACGGCAAGACCCUUGCCGGGCCCCUCGACAAGACCCUCGCCAAGGACGCCAGUGGGGCCACUGCCAAACCCGCGCCGCACGGGCUUCCACCACCGUUCACAUGCAGCUGCCAGCCCAACCAGCUGGGCAGGCACCUGCGUGGCAACAUGCAGCUCCUAGGCCAACUCAUCGAGCGCCUGCAUGGCGGCAUGCAGAUCUUCAUGAAGGCUCUGCCACCGCGCCACCUCAGCUGCCUGACUGCCUACAUGGCACUACGCACCUCACUGGCCAGGGCGCGUGUCAAGGCGAGGAGGAGCGGCGACGGACGGGACGGGCCUCGCCCCCGUCCCCAAUAAAGCAAGGGGACACCUAAGCCAUGCAUUGAAUGCAUCUUGUCCUGUAAUACGAGCGAUAAGCUCAGGGCACUGUACGCCUUUCCACCUCCUGUGUGUCACUGUGGCAGCCCCUUUCAACUAUAAAAGGAGGCCCAUGGCAUACUGGAGGAGGAUUCGGCUCUUUCGAACCACGCACUGACUACAGCUAGUUCGAGAGCUCAAGAACUCUCAGAAAUACACCCACCAAAGCAGGACUAGGGUUUUACGCAUCCUCGCGGCCCGAACCUGGGUAAACAAACCUUGUGCUGUCUACUAGCCCUGCUCUCCUCGCAACCCUGUGCCCCGGCAACCGUAGUAGGGAUUCUUGUGAUCCCAUAGGUGUCGUUCCACACCGACAUACCGCGUAGGGCGCGGACGUAAAAAAUUACGUCCGCCCCUACAGCUGCACGGGCGGCUGAGUCUGGUCUGAGGUCACGGUAGUACAGCUCCGUAGGAGCGGUACUACCGCGGGCGCCUACGGUACUACCACAUGGACUUGUGGUACUACCACAGGGGCCUGCGGUACUACCGCUCUGUGGAGCAGUACUACCGCAUGCCCCAGAACAGCAACACUUAGGAAUCCUUCUCUUUGCAUAGAGAUGAGGAAAACGGAGGAUGCUCCAAGGUCAAAGGGAAAGGAGGUGCAGAGGAAGAAAACGUGUACGUGAUGAUUCCACCCGAACCUUUCCGACGCGGACCCCCUCUUAAUAGUACGGCUUUCCUACGACUCAAAUCCACCGAAAAGAAACGUAGAAAAACACCGUCUUCAAUAGUCUUCGAGGGGCACCAAACCGUCUUGUGCCUAGCAAUGAAACGUCUGAGAAGCUCAAGGCACACGAUUAGUCCGCAAAGGCGUUGUCAUCAAUCACCAAAACACCUUAGGGAUAAAUAUGUCCUUACAAUCUCCCCCUUUUUGGUGGAUUGAUGACAAUACGGGAUUUGCACAAAGGGAAAUAAUAAAGAGCAAACGCAAACCCCUCCUCUUUAAAAUAUAGACGGGCUCCCCCUAGAUGUGUGCAAUCUAGAUAGGUGCUUUGGACUGCACGGCACACAUACUAGAUCAAAACUCCCCCUAUAUUUUAGAGACAAGGCAUAUCUGGCAAUAGUAAGGCUAACAUUAAGCAAGAUAGCAAACACGAGCAUAACAUAAGUAGCACAAUAUAUCAUAAGCUCACUAAGAUAAGAUAGAGUGCAUAUGUCUUACACCAUAUGAAGGAUAAGUCUCACAAGCGCAAACCAAACCAAAGCAGACGAGGUUCAAACGAAAAGGCAAACAAACCAAACACGACACACGACUCGCAAUCAAAUCCCUACACUCUCUCCCCAUUUGGCAUUGAGAUGCCAAAAAGGCAGAGAGGACACCUACACACAAAGGGCGGCUCAGGCAGAUUAAUCGCUCCAACGCUCCUCGUCAGACUCGGCAGCGGGGAUGGUCUCCUCGAUGUCCUCCUCAGAAUCAGUCCACCUGUAGCCUUGCUUCGCCAUCCAUUCUGCCUCUGGGGUGAUGUGCCUCUCUGACCCGCUGGAUUCAGCCUCACCAAAAACCUUCAUGAACUUCUUGUCGCGGCGGUGACUCUCCUUGGAAGCAACGUGAGUCCUGUACUGCCCCUUUGCCUGCAUGCAGAACAGAGUCUUCAUCUUGUCCUUCAGCUUCUUGGCCCACGAGGGCUCAGAGGAACGAUGGGCAUACCCAGCAGUACGGUCCUCAGCGGCAUCCUCUGCCUCAGCCUCCUCCUCAUCAACAGCCCUCUUAGCCGUCGUCGCCUCAGCACGAGUAGUAGUGUUGGCCCACUUGGGCUUGACACGGAGACUGAUGGACUCAUGUCGAAUCCAGUCUGGAGCAAGGAACUCAUCACCAGGGAACAGCUUCUCCCAAGUCUUGGAGAUCAACAUAAACAGGUACGGUCCAUAGAUAGGUACCUUGCGGUUGAACACCGCGAACCGAAGCUCACACCACAUGAUAUGUGAGACAUCAAGUGGUUGAGACUGAGACACACGCGCCUCCUCGCACAGGAGCAUCAUAUCCACCAGAUAGGCAUGCACCUUGUCCUUGUCGCCAAUGCGAGGAAAGAGAGAGUUGCAGAAGAUGCGAUACAUGAUGUCCAGAAAUGGGUUCAGCACCCACGUCGACUUGCCACUGGGAAGCACCUUCUCAACAUAAUACUGCUGAAGCCUGUUCUUGCUGGCAGACUCAGGGUUGGCAUGAGGGCGAACACCUACGGGCGUGGUGAGCCCGUCAUCAGGAACAUGGAGUAGAUCCAUGAAAUCCUUCCAGGUAGCAGUCAACUGACGUCCAUUGGUCAUCCAGGUCAAUCUUUGAUCCUCCCCAGUGUGGAAGUGAACUAAGGCAAAGAACUGGCAAAUAAGCUCAGGGUCAUAGUCCAGAUGGAAGGAGAUCACAUGCUCAAUGCCAAACUGCUCCACCAAAUCCAGAGCUUCUCCAAAGUAAUCACGGUGCUUGGCCUGCCUCAUGUGAUUCAUGUCAAUCCACUUGACAUCCACGUAGGUGUUUUGCUUGGCCUUGAUCACAUCCAGAUAUAUGAGAGUCUGCUGCUUGGUCCAAAACAAGUCAUUGCCUCUGAAGAUAGCAUGGGCAUUCACAUAUGGGUUGAUCUGCCUUCGAGGGAUAAACUCAGCAAGUGGGAUCUCGUCCAUGCCCUUUGCGGGUUCCUUGUACUUGCUGGCGGAGGACUUGACAUUGCACUUGGGGGCACUGGAGCCCUCUGGAGCUUCAUCUUGAUUUCGCAGACACUUGGAGCCAGUGUCACGACUGGGAUUGGAACGGCGAGCAGGAGCACUGGAGCCACCACCUAAGACACAAAGCAAAAGGCACAAACGAAACACGAGAAGAAUCAAUGCAAAGACCUCAGCAAGACACAGGAAACAAGUAGAAAGCAUACGUGAUAAUUGCCAAGAGGAAUAUUGGACAACAACGGUAGUAGUGCCAAGUUGAGUGGUACUAAAAUUUUAGUACCGCUCCUAGUCGCGGUAGUACCGCGUGAGGGCACGGUAGUACCGGGGCUUGGAGCGGUAGUAGAACUUUAGUACUACAGCUUGUGCGGUAGUACCGCACCUGACGGGCGGUAGUACCGGACACGCGGUAGUACCGCACGGCGUCAGAUCCGAACUUUGAAUCUGAGAACAACCGCGAAAACGCGGCGGUACUACGGUUGAUCGAAUCUACCACGGGACAACAUAUCAAGUAUAAUUUCCACGCUACACUACUCUCCUACAUCCUACUCGUGCAUAGAUUUGGCCUAAAAUCUCAAGAACACAUGCAUCUCCCCAAAAACCUAGAGACAAAAAGAACGAACAAAAGGGAGAUGGAUUUGGGGAGAAACCUUGUUCCAUGGCAAGAGGAAGUGGUGGGGAACGAUCCCACUGGUCGGAAUCCGAGGAGAGUGGCCGGAGACGGAGAUCCGGUGAGGGUCUCCGGCGCCGUUCUUGAGCAGGAGAGAGAGAGAAGCGGCGGGGAGAGAGACAAAUGAAUGGGUAUGGGGUAGUUGGAACUCCCCCUGCCCGGGUCAUAACCCCCACGCGCACUCGUCAGCGUGGUAGUAUCGCGCUUCAUCGCGGUAGUACCGCUCGGGCGGAAGUGCCGCACCGAAGCAGUAGUACCGCUCUCCCAGGCGGCAGUAAAAAAAUACUGCCGCGCUAGGUGCGGUAGUACCGUGCACUCCACACAUGGUAGUACCGUGGCAGGCUGCGGUAGUACCGUGAGCUCAAGAAGAUGCACAUUUCAAACACAAGAAAAAGAGGUUUUCGCACGGAAUCUUCAAGCAAACGAGACACCACAAGAACACGCUCAACACGAAGAAAGAAAGGCAAAAGACAACAAGAAUCAACCUCGAGACACAACCUCUCCAAAGAGAGGGCGAUGGCCGGAGCCACCUAUGUUUGAGUCAUUUGGUAUGGCACCGCGAAGAAUUAUCCUUGGGCCCAUGACCAAAACUCGUCUUUGAAGCACAAGUACCAUCAAAAAUGGCUAAUGUGAAAGAGUUGAUCAAUUUAUGCAUAAUGGGGGGAGGGAGAGUUCACUCCCCCUAUGUCCAUGCCUACAUCUAAACAAGACAACAAGUUGAGUAUGGUGGGGUGUGCAAGGGUUCAGGCAACAUUUCUCGAAUCAAUGAUAUUUAGCUCAUGCCUUAACUCGCGAAAUCUUGCUUCAUCCAACGGCUUCGUGAAAAUAUCUGCAAGGUUAUCAUGAGUGUUGACAUAGUUGAGCUCGAUCUCCCCUCACCUAAUGUGAUCCCGGAUGAAGUGAUACCGAAUCUCAAUAUGCUUCGUCUUGAAGUGUUGCACCGGGUUGAGAGAAAUCUUGAUGGCACUUUCAUUGUCACACCAAAGAGGCACUUUGUCACAAAUGACACCGUAAUCCUUUAAAGUUUGCCUCAUCCAUAAGAGUUGUGCACAGCAACUACCGGCCGCCACAUACUCCGCUUCGGUGGACAAGAGAGACACACAACUUUGCUUUUUAGAAGACCAACUUACCAAAGAGCAACCAAGGAAUUGGCACCCUCCGGAAGUGAACUUCCUAUCCACUUUGUCUCCCGCCCAAUAGGGGUCCGAAUACCCUACAAGCUUGAAGUUUUCUCCUCUUGGGUACCAUAAGCCAAAGUUUGGGGUAUGAGCCAAAUAUCGAAAGAUUCGCUUGACCGCCACAAAGUGGCUUUCCUUAGGUGCGGCUUGAAACCGUGCACAAAUUCCCACACUCAACAUGAUAUCUGGUCUAGAUGCACAAAGGUAAAGCAAGGAUCCAAUCAUGGAGCGAUAUACCUUUUGAUCCACCGCUUUACCAUUGGGAUCGAUGUCAAGUUGGCACUUGGUGGGCAUUGGAGUGGAAGCCGGCUUGACAUCACUUAGCUUGAAUCUCUUGAGCAUGUCUUGAGUGUAUUUGGCUUGGUUGAUGAAGGUUCCUUCUCUUCUUUGCUUCACUUCGAACCCGAGAAAGAACUUCAACUCUCCCAUGGAAGACAUCUUGAACUUUGAGGUCAUGAGAGCGGCAAAUUCCUCAUUGAAAGCUUUGUUAGGGGAACCAAAGAUAAUAUCAUCAACAUAAACUUGGCACACAAACAACUCCCCUUUGACCUUCUUAGUAAAAAGAGUGGGGUCGAUUAGCCCAACUUCAAAUCCACGGUCUUAUAACAACUCGGUAAGGUGGUCAUACCACGCACGUGGGGCUUGUUUAAGGCCAUAGAGUGCCUUAUCGAGUUGAUACACAUUAUCGGGAAAGUAGGGAUCCUCGAACCCGGGGGUUGCUUGACAUAUACCAACUCAUUAAUAGGACCAUUAAGAAAAGCACUCUUCACAUCCAUUUGUUGCAACUUAAAGUUGUGAUGAGAAGCAUAAGCAAUCAACAAAUGAAUGGAUUCAAGGCGAGCAACGGGAGCAAAGGUUUCACCGUAGUCGAUACCCUCGACUUGGGAGUAGCCUUGUGCCACCAAUCUUGCCUUGUUGCGAAUGAUGGUCCCAUGAGCAUCUUGCUUGUUCUUGAAUAUCCACUUGGUUCCAAUGACAUUGUGGUUCCCUGUUGGCCUUGGCACCAAUCUCCACACCUUUUUGUACUCGAAGUUGUUGAGUUCUUCAUGCAUGGCAUUAAGCCAAUCCGGAUCUUCGAGUGCUUCAUAUACCUUUUGGGUUUCAACACAAGAGACAAAAGCGUGAUGUUCACAAUAGUUUGCCAAUUGUCGACGAGUGCUUACCCCCUUUUGAAUGCUUACAAGCACAUUUUUCAUGAGAUGACCCUUGGUGGAGAGCUUGGAUGCAAUCUUGGCGGCACGACGCUCUAAUUCCUCCUCGGUGGUGAGUUGAGGAGCGGUCACUUGAUCAUCUUGAGCGUCGUCUUGAGCUUGCUCUUGAUCUUGAACUUUCUCGGAGGAGAGAACUUGACCUUGGGCAUCACUUGGUGUGUCAACACCGUCUUGAGCAUGAUCUUGCCCUUGGUCUUGUUCAUGAGGUUGAGGGCCAUCACUUUUGUUCUUCGGAAGCGUGUGGGCCUUUGGUUGGUGAUGGCUCCACUUGAGUGGAGCAUUGUCCUUCUCCUCCGGCCACAAGGGGUUCUUCAAUGGGUAGGAUAAAACCAACACCCAUUCUUCUUAUGGCUUGAGGAGGAAUUUCAUCACCUACAUCACAAGUGCCACUUUGCUCCACUUGGGAGCCGUUAUUCUCAUCAAACUACAUGUUACAUGUCUCCUCAAUAAGUCCCGUGGAUUUAUUGAGGACACGGUAAGCAUGAGAGUUUGUAGCAUAACCAACAAAAAAGCCCUCAUAAGCUCUAGCCUCAAAUUUAGACAAACGAACACCUUUCUUGAGAAUGAAACACUUACACCCGAACACCCGAAAGUACUUGAGGUUGGGCUUGUUACCGGUGAGUAUCUCAUAUGGAGUCUUGUUCAAGCCCUUGCGGAGGUAGAGCCGAUUGGAUGCAUGACACGCAGUGUUGAUGGCUUUGGCCCAAAAGUUGUAUGGAGACUUGAACUCCACCAUCAUGGUCCUUGCCGCAUCCAUCAACGUCUGGUUCUUCCUCUCCGCUACACCAUUUUUUGAGGGGUGUAUGGUGCGGAAUAUUGAUGCUUGAUCCCCUCAUCACUAAGAAACUCAUCCAAGGUGGAGUUCUUGAACUCGGUGCCGUUGUCGCUUCUUAUAGUCAAGAUCUUUGCAUUGUAUUGAUGUUGGGCUUCAUUUGCAAAGUCAAUGACGGUUUGUUGGGUCUCACUCUUCCUCUUGAAGAAAUAUACCCAAGUGUAUCUUGAGUAGUCAUCCACAAUCACCAAGCAAUACUUUCUACCCCCAAGACUAUCAAAGGAUGGAGGCCCAAAGAGAUCCAAGUGAAGGAGCUCCAAAGGCCUCUUCGAGUAAAUGAUAGUCGUGGGAGGGUGAGCCUUAUCAUGUAGCUUUCCUUCAAUACAAGCACUGCAAGCACGAGCUUUAGCAAAACUAACAUUUGUUAGU